UAAGAUGAGAGCAGGAGACUGUCAGGCGACGCGCUGUUUGUUUUCUUGUACCAUGGCGGAGUUUGUCACCCCGGCCCCCGACGAUAUAGAACAUCAUGUUUUUCUACCUUUUAUAUGUUGUGGGACGACUGCCUUUGCCGCGCAAGUUGAUGUAAGCAAAAGUUGAAACAGGUCUGAAACGGACUGGCUUCUUAGAUUUUCCAUUGUUUCCUUCUCAAGUCCCUGUGUCUCGAUUGUGGAAUCAAAAAAAUGUGGCAACAUUUGCGAUUUCUUCCUGUCUAUCCUAUUACUCUACAUGAGAAUCAAGAAUGUGCGAAAAGGAACCUCCUGUUACUCUACCUGAGAAUCAAGGAAUGUGCUUUUGCAGCGUGUGCUUCUGCCUGCUCCUCUCUCUGCCUGUGGGAGGGAAUCAAGAAAUGUGCAGUGGUACUUGGAUCAUCAGGGGACGCAUUCCGUUUCCUGCUGAAAACGACCUGAUUCACGUGGAAUUUCACAUGCCCGUGGUUAACGAAUACAGUAUAGAUAUAUUAUGAGGCUGUUUGUCCAUUUUCCGCUCCUCUAUUUGAGGCAAGCCUUGCUUUUUUACCCCACGCUAAAUUGAUCGGCAAAAUGUUCUAUUUUUACACGGACGAAAAGGAAACCCUGAAGCCACGUGUUGGGCCGAAACGCCGCUCCUUUCCCCAGCGUCCUCUCCGAUUCAACGGCCAGCACUAAUCUCGAAGCCCACGUGAGCGCCCAAAACCAAAAUUAGCGAGCACCCGGGCGGACGCGGGGAAACCACCCCCACCCCCACCCUCCCCCCGUUUCGGCGCAAGGAAGGAACCAAACAGACAUGGCGACCCAAGAACUCUGAUCCCUUUCCUCCCUCGAUUCGUCCGCGAAUUCAAAAGAUUUGGAAAGAUCGAUCGAUCGUGCAUGCUGCUCGCAUUUUGGUUUGAUUCGGUUUGAUUUGAUGGUCGCCGCCGCGAUNNNNNNNNNNNNNNNNNNNNNNNNNNNNNNNNNNNNNNNNNNNNNNNNNNNNNNNNNNNNNNNNNNNNNNNNNNNNNNNNNNNNNNNNNNNNNNNNNNNNNNNNNNNNNNNNNNNNNNNNNNNNNNNNNNNNNNNNNNNNNNNNNNNNNNNNNNNNNNNNNNNNNNNNNNNNNNNNNNNNNNNNNNNNNNNNNNNNNNNNNNNNNNNNNNNNNNNNNNNNNNNNNNNNNNNNNNNNNNNNNNNNNNNNNNNNNNNNNNNNNNNNNNNNNNNNNNNNNNNNNNNNNNNNNNNNNNNNNNNNNNNNNNNNNNNNNNNNNNNNNNNNNNNNNNNNNNNNNNNNNNNNNNNNNNNNNNNNNNNNNNNNNNNNNNNNNNNNNNNNNNNNNNNNNNNNNNNNNNNNNNNNNNNNNNNNNNNNNNNNNNNNNNCCCUGAAGCCACGUGUUGGGCCGAAACGCCGCUCCUUUCCCCAGCGUCCUCUCCGAUUCAACGGCCAGCACUAAUCUCGAAGCCCACGUGAGCGCCCAAAACCAAAAUUAGCGAGCACCCGGGCGGACGCGGGGAAACCACCCCCACCCCCACCCCCCCCCCGUUUCGGCGCAAGGAAGGAACCAAACAGACAUGGCGACCCAAGAACUCUGAUCCCUUUCCUCCCUCGAUUCGUCCGCGAAUUCAAAAGAUUUGGAAAGAUCGAUCGAUCGUGCAUGCUGCUCGCAUUUUGGUUUGAUUCGGUUUGAUUUGAUGGUCGCCGCCGCGAUCCGCGCAUGACGAAGCUCAAGAGCCUGACGUCGUCGGUGGGGAAGGGGGAGAGCGCGGGGAGUGCUCGGCAGAUUGCCGGGUCGCCGAUGAAGCUGCUGGUGCGCGUUCUCGAGGCGCGCGGCCUGCUGCCGGUGCACCUCAACGGCUCCAGCGACCCCUUCGUCAAGCUGCAGCUCGGCAAGCGCCGCGCCAAGACGGCCGUCGUCAAGAAGAGCCUCACCCCCGCCUGGGACGAGGAGUUCAGCUUCCUCGUCGGCGACGUCACCGAGGAGCUCUCCGUCUCCGUGCUCAACGAGGACAAGUACUUCACCAACGACCUCCUCGGCAAGGUCAAGGUGCCGCUCUCCAAGGUCAUGGAGGCCGAGGACUUCAACCUCGGCACCGCCUGGUACCAGCUCCAGCCCAAGAGCAAGAAGUCCAAGAAGAAAGAACGCGGUAUGCUAUUAUUAUUAUUGCCUUGCCCCGCGCCGCAUUCGUCCCCACGAUUCUUUUUCCUCUCCUCUGUUGUGGUUUUGUUUUGAAUUUGCAUAUAUAAGCAAUUGACUUGCAUGCACAAGUAUGAGCUUUCUUGGAUGUCAUAUUCUAAGAUACGCACUAGCAAUCUUGGCAGCAUUUAAUUUGAAUUUCUUCCAUGUGCAGGGGAAAUUUGCCUGCGCAUAUCCUUGUCUACACGCUCGCACGUGUCUGAAGAAUCGCACCAGCAACAACCCACUUCGGAUGGCGCAGCAUCCAGUUCAGACAGGUCAAUUGGGAACAAAGAUGGAACUUUGUCAACCAGCAAUAGCUACAUUGACAUGUCAGCCCUUGCCAGUUUGGACCGAUCAUCACAGGGAAGUAUGGAACGAUUAGGGGAUGGUGCUGUGGACCAACCGCCCGGGACCAGCAUUGACCAAGCAGUCACUGAACCUGGAACCGCUGUUUCUAAUGAUGCGAUGGCGAAUACGUCGUCGGUGGUAGAGGUCUUGUCUCGCUAUUUCUUUGGGAAACCUGCUGAUACUAAUCUGCCUUCCAUCGUUGCCUCUGACGCUGAGUCAGUGGUGGAGCAGUCCGAAGAGCCAAAAGUUUGCUCUGUAGACCGUGAAAGUCCCGAGAAUGGCACGCCAUCUGAGUCAAACCUUGAUGAGCUACUGAAAAUCAUGGAGUCCAAAGAUCAAGGCUGUGAAAUGCCAGCAAAACUGGCUAACGGCGUUCUAGUUGAUGAAUCUUAUGUUAUUGCACCAGCUGGACUGAAUUCCCUCUUGUUUUCUCCAAAUUCAGAUUUCUGGCCAGCAGUAGCAGAGCUUCAAGGAACAAGUGGAUUUCAGAUUGAACCAUGGAAGAUCGAUAGCAACGAUGGUUGUUUGCGAAGAACAUUAAGUUACAUAAAAGCCGCUAGUAAGCUGGUUAAAGCUUGCAAAGCCACAGAAGAGCAGAAAUACUUAAAAGCAGCUGGGAAUUCUUUCGCUGUUUUGUCUAUUGUUAGCACACCUGAUGUUCCUUAUGGCAGUUGUUUCAAGAUAGAGAUAUUGUACUGUAUAACGCCAGGUCCCCACUUAUCAUCUGAAGAGCAAACAGCACAUCUUACUGUAAGUUGGCGGAUCAACUUUCUUCAGAGCACAAUGAUGAAAGGAAUGAUUGAGAGUGGUGCAAAACAAGGCAUGUCAGAAGGUUAUGCACAAUUUUCUGAUGUACUGUCCCAAAGGUUUAAAGUAGCUGAGCUUGAUGAUGCCAAUUCAAACAAAGAAAAGAUUUUAGCCUCACUACAAGCACAUAAAGAACCAAGCUGGAGGUUGAUUGUCCGCUUCCUUGGGAACUUCACAUUCAUAUUCUCUGUUAUCAUAGGGAUAUAUGUUAUAGUUCACCUUCAUUUAUCAAGGCCCAAAGUGAUGAAUGGGCUUGAAUAUUUUGGCAUUGACCUUCCAGAUUCAAUUGGAGAGGUUGUAGUUUGUGCUGUCUUGAUCCUUCAGGGACAGACCAUCCUGAAAGUAAUAAAGCGCUUCUUGAAUGCAUGGAGACAAAGAGGUAGAUAUCUCAGUCACUAUGUUAUUAUCUACUCCAAAACUGUUGCACAUGAAUCUGAAUAUUCUUGAUUAGUUUUACGUUCUCUUUCUGUUGUACUCCCUGUGCCUGGAAUUACUUGUCGCCCAAACAGAUGUAUCUAGCACUAAAAUACGUCUAGAUACAUCCAUUUGAGCGACAAGUAAUUCCGGACGGAGGAAGUAUCUAGUAAGUAAUACAUGCAUUGCAUGUGAGAGCUUAGAUAAUCAAAGUACGACCAAAGAUGGACAUACUGAAUUGUAAUAGUCAAAUGAAAUUUUGAGGCACAUACAUCAAGUAUAAGAUGCAUAUUUAAUUCUCUUAGCCCAUUCCAUAAAAAAAUAAAUCAAAUUAUGGCUACAAAAUACUUGAAAACUGCAUGGUAUAUACUACGCAAAAUUCGGGUAAAAUAUAUCAAGCACAUUUUGUCUAGGCAGUCUCUUGCAAUUACUUCGUAUUGAAUUUUCAAUAAAAAAUAACGUGAAUACCUAAUGCUGCAUCACCAAGAUAAAUUUGGUUUAUGAUGUAAGGCCGUAGCUUUGAACACAAUGAUUUUUUUUCACGGAAGUAAAAAUCAAUGACAGUUCUGUUAGAAAAGAAGAACUUCGGAGUGUUUAAUUAUAGAAGAGUCUAGAAUAAAGUAGAAGUGUGUUUCGUGAUUUGUGCAUAAUAUCCAUUGGGCUUAAGUACAGCCAUAGAUCUUCUAGAUAGUAUACGUGGCAGAAUCCGGUGUAGUAAAGAGGAAAUCGGACGGCGACAAGUGCUCGGAUUUGCCAUCUCUCUCACGUCAGAUUGACUUUAUCCAACGGACGAUAUUCAAAGCUAUUCAUACACUAUAUAAUGGAAUAGAAAUAGAUGGUAUAGAUAUAGAUAUGCUCUAAGAGUGAAAGUGUUAUUCUAAAAGGAGAUGAGGUGAAUUGUCUUCUACUGCAACCAAUGGACAUUUUGCUCUACACAUAUGUUCUGGUAUUGUAGUGCUACUUGAUUUGCUUUAAAUUUCGGUAACAGUUGAGCAAUAUUCGUCUUUUCUUCUUCCUGUAUUAGGUAGUGAUCAUGGAGUCAAAGCUCAUGGAGAUGGCUGGUUACUGACUGUUGCACUUAUUGAGGGUACUGGUAUACUAUCUGCUGGUUCAUCUCAACCAUUUGACCUAUAUGCUGUUUUUACCUGCAACACGAAGAGGAAAACAAGCUCAAUUAAAUUCCACACAUCUGAUCCAAAAUGGAACGGUUAGUUUCUUCCCCUUCAUGUUGCUUUGUUCUCAGCUGGGAAGAGCAGCCGAUCCUUUGUGCUACAGUAUUGCAUGAACUGACGGUACUGACCUUCACAUAUGCAUAGUGUAGCUGACCCAUUUGAUGCUUGAAUUUCUAGAGAUAUUCGAAUUUGAUGCAAUGGAUGAUCCACCAUCAAGGAUGGAUGUAGCUAUUCAUGACUCGAAUCAAUUAGAUGAAGCUCCCAUUGGUCACGCCGAAGUGAACUUCCUGAAGAGCAAUUUGUCAGAUUUAAUGGACAUAUGGGUUCCUCUUGAUGGGAAGUGUGAUCCAGCAAGCAACCCUAAGCUACAUUUGAGAAUAUUUUUGAACAACUCGAGAGGAACUGAAGUUGUUCUGAAUUACCUGGCAAAGAUGGGGAAUGAAGUCGGUAAGAAGGUAAGGACCUAACUUUUUGUCUGAUUUGUUUUUCAUCAUCUCUUCUAUUUCUGAAAUUACAUAUGACAUAAUGUGUAGAUAAAUUUGCGGUCAGCACAAACAAAUUUAGCAUUCCGAAAGCUCUUUAACCUCCCUCCUGAAGAGUUCCUCAUCGAUGAUUUCACCUGUCAUCUAAAACGGAAGAUGCCACUUCAGGUAUUUACUUUUCUGAUUGUUUAUUUAUGUGUCAAAGAUGCUACUAUUAUUUUAAUUGUACCAAGUAGACCUGUACAUGUAUGUACCAUACUACCAAGGAGAAUCACCGCUAUAGUUUUGCAUUCGUUUGUGACUCGCUUGACAUUUGCCAAUAUUUUGUACUUUCUCCAUUUUGUUCUGUCAAUAUUUACAGAGAACUGGCUCUUUUACAGGGACGAGUAUUUUUUUCUCCAAGAAUAAUUGGAUUCUACUCUAAUAUAUUUGGUCACAAGACCAAGUUUUUCUUUCUGUGGGAAGACGUUGAUGAUAUCCAGGUUAUCCCUCCUACACUGUCAAUUGGCAGCCCAUCCUUGAUGGUUAUCCUUAGAAAGGAUAGAGGGUCAGAAGCAAAACAUGGUGCCAAGGCAACAGAUCAUCAUGGAAGACUCAAGUUCCAUUUUCAGUCCUUUGUUUCGUUCAAUGAUGCUCACAGGUACCUUUCAUUUGUUUGUUUUCGAGGUCCAGUGAGACAUCUAGGCCAAGCAUAUAUUUUAUUCUUCAGAACUUCAGAUCAAAAUUUCUAAAUAAAAUAAAAUAACUCUAGAUCUUAUUUUGUGAAGUUCAAGGAUAACAUGUUCAUGGGUACGCUGGCCUGAUGUGGCUUUGGUUUGCAGAUUACAAGCCCAAAGCCGGCUUGACCUGCAGUGACGAAGGGUCGAAAACUAUAAAUGGACACAUUUCAGCAUAAUUCCCAUUAUAAGAUAGGACAACUUUAACAUUUUAGUCUUUUGGGGGAUUUGAACCCAAUAUUAAGCGUCGAGCGGCUAGUCGCGUUGACAAGUGUACCAGUCGUAACCUGGGUGUCAACUGGGCACCUUGACUCUAUUGGUUGGCACUGCCGAGCGACUGGUUAACUAGUGGCUGACUAAUCUUGACUAGUCUAGUCCCUUGAGCCAAGCAAGUCAAAAUUGGCCCACUGUUUCCAAAAAAAAGGAAUCUGCCCAAGGCUGGCCCACUGUAUUCAGGUUCUUCUAUAACGCACAACCUCACGGUAUACAAAUAAGAAAAUGUAGUAACAAUAGGCUUCUAUUUUCUACUGAUUAUAGUUCUGCAGAUAGUUGAUCGGAUCUUGCUAUCCCAUCAUGUACUAAGCUAUUCUGCUAGUUUGCAUAUAAAUGUAUCACAUCAAGAAAUCUUUAUCUGACAGAAUAAUCAUGGGGAUCUGGAAAAUGCGAUCACCGGGUCAAGAACAGAAGGGAGAGGUAAUUGAGGAGUCUGAACCAAAAGAACUCCAGGCGGAAGAAUGUGGAUCCUUAUUUACCCAUGAGGAUGUCAAAAUGUCCGAAAUAUUCUCAUCAGUUCUUUCUGUGGACGUGAGUGCCACUUUUAUUUUCGCAUGAGCUUGUCACAAUUUGUUUUCGCACUAAAAUUUGUUUUGGGAUUCCUUACAUAUAUCUAAAUUUUCAGGUUGAGUCCUUGAUGGAGAUGUUUUCAGGAGGUCAGUUGGAACAGAAAGUGAUGCAAAAGACUGGCUGUCUGGACUACUCAUCAACAGAAUGGGAACUUGUAGGCAGAAAUAUAUACAAGCGGCAAAUCAGCUACAAGUUUGACAAAGCAUUGUCUCGAUAUGGAGGAGAAGCAAGCACCACUCAGCAGAAGUAUGCCCUAGUGAACCAAGAUGGCUGGGCCAUUGAAGAGGUGAUGACCCUCCAAGGUGUUCUACUUGGGGACUUCUUUAAUGUAAGACUCCCCCUUCCCACAUUUAUUCUUAAAUGGUCUGUACUAUGCGAACCAUUAUCAAGAGUUUGUGACCAUUCCGAAUAGUUGUAACCUUAGCUCUGAGCUAAAACAUAAGAAUUGAAGUGGUAUUACUGUAUGCUUGUUCUGUCAUUUUUUUUUUGCUGAACUGGUACAUAGAAUAAUGUUGAUCACAAUGGUUCUUAACUUGCAGCUCCAGCUAAAGUAUCAUAUGGCGAACAUACCAUCAAAACCAAACACCUGCAACGUGCAGGUCUUGUUGAGGAUUGCCUGGUUAAAAAGCACCAAGCAACAAAAGAAGAUCACAAAAAAUAUCAUGUCCAACACCUCAAAUAGAUUGAAGGAGCUCUUUUCCGAAGUCGUAAAGGAUCUUACGUCAAGAAACGGUACCCUUUUCAAUGCAGCUAUUGAUCCUUAGUGUUCGUUAUUAUGAUUUCUAAUGUCAUGUUAACAUAUAGCAGAGUUCACAUCAAACCAAUGCCAGGAAAGUAAGUUUAUAUGAUGCAUUUCAUUGCUUCUGUGUCAAAUGAAUUAUUACCACUGAGUGGAAACUAAAUGCAAUGAAUCUGGUAUAACUUUUUAGGUGGCACUGUCAGAAAGCAAACUGUUUUUGUUGCUCUGUAUGAAUCAGCGCUAUUUGUUUUGCCUCGGGAAAGAAUGACACUGAUUUUUCUGUGUGCGGCAAAUUUGUAGGUUGAAGCUAACCUCUGUACAGUGUAACAGUAGAUUACUCAUGCCAUCAAAAUGUGUUUGAAGAGCCCAAGCAGAGGGGAAUCGGCAUGAUAUGUUGCUGUCUGCUUGUGGUGAGACAUGCUUUAGCUGCUGCCAACAGUUUGCAGUUCUUACACAGACAGCAGAGCCUGAAAGUGAACUAUGUGAAUAGAUUGUUUCAGAAGCAGUUCGUUAAAAAAAACAUUUCUGACACGGCCUUACCCAUUUAUCCUCAUAGGAAGUCAAGUAGAGUUGUAUAUGCACAGCUGACCUGUAUAUGUAUAACAGAAGUGAUAUAGUGAAAGAAAGCUAAUUUUGAUCCAUAGAGGUCUUGUCGGAGUUGUGUGCUGUACUGUAAAACAAUCAAGCAAAUAUGUGGUAUAUCUACUAUUUUGUUGUUCAAUUUGCCAUACUCGUAUGCCUUGAUCUAAGAGCUGCUAUAUAACGAACAACAUUUAUAUAGGCCUACGUACCGAAUGUUUUGUUAUCCCCCUCCUGCAUGCACUCUUUUAUGCCGCAACUCAAGUUUGUAUGCAUUAUCAUUUACCUUUUCUCCAAGACCUUAAAUGGACCAUCAUCCAGUGGCAUUAGUUUACAUUUGCGCAACUUAGAUAAUCUAUCUUUACUUAAAUGCACCCAAAUAAAUUGAACACAACAUGCUUUCUAUCCUUAUCACCCACAAGUUUGUACUUAGCAUUUAUCCACUAUGUUUUUCUUCAUCAUCUCAUGCAUCUUUAACAUCAGUUCAACAUGUUCCGUAGCAUCAAAAUCCCCCCCCCNNNNNNNNNNNNNNNNNNNNNNNNNNNNNNNNNNNNNNNNNNNNNNNNNNNNNNNNNNNNNNNNNNNNNNNNNNNNNNNNNNNNNNNNNNNNNNNNNNNNNNNNNNNNNNNNNNNNNNNNNNNNNNNNNNNNNNNNNNNNNNNNNNNNNNNNNNNNNNNNNNNNNNNNNNNNNNNNNNNNNNNNNNNNNNNNNNNNNNNNNNNNNNNNNNNNNNNNNNNNNNNNNNNNNNNNNNNNNNNNNNNNNNNNNNNNNNNNNNNNNNNNNNNNNNNNNNNNNNNNNNNNNNNNNNNNNNUGCCCUUCGGAGCUCCUCGGCCGCUCCCGCGAGCGGCCAGGAGCUAACCCCAGCCGCCGCGAGCGUAACACUCCUCCGCCCCUCCUCCCCUCGUCGCCGCCGGCAGGCGUUGUCGGGCAAAGCCCGCGCGGCGCGGCGGCGGCGGGGUCUCUUUCCUUUUCCUCUGGAUGGGGCGGCGCGGGAUGGCCACUCCAGCGGGUGCUCGCGGGUCGGGCACGGUGCUAGCACUCGCGCAGCGAGGAGGCGCAGGGGGCGGCGCGGGGUCGCUCUGCUGGUGCGGAUCUGACGCCCAGCGCAGUGCGCUGUGAUCUGUGGCCUGGGCAGGGCUAUGCAAGCGGCACGGCGGCGGCGCAAGGGGCCGUGCUGAGGCGCGGCAGUAGCACAAGGGGGUCGUGCAGAGGCACGGCGGCGGCGCGGGGUGGCCCAGCCAGCGCGGAUCUGCCGUGUGUGGGUCACAACGAGGUGACAGGGAGGCCGCGGAUCUGGCGGGUCCGCGCGCUUGAGAGGGGCGACGGCUGCUGCAUCACGAGGUGGAGCCGGUGGACGUCGACCAUGUGGAUGGUGUGCUGUGCAGUGCUUCAGAUCUGCUCGGAUCCGAAGGUGUGAUGGAGCUCCGGGCGAAAGUCUAGCCCCGACUUUGGGUCGGUGCCGGCAACGGUGGCGCCAUGGUGUCACUCCCCUUCUUGAAGGCGUUGCCGUGAAGCUCCAUUUCACGACUCUCCGGGAGAAAUCCCUAGCUUCGGUGGUCAAAGCGGGCGUUGACGGCGGCUACGUCGUAUCCUUCUUUGAGGCAUCGCCUUGGAGAGUCAGCAUUUUGCAAUUUGCACGGAUCUCUUCGUCGACGGGGACAGUGGACGUCGGGGCAGCGGCCCCGGGUGGUUUCUGAUUGUGCGUCGAGAUGGCGAUCUCGGGAACAAUGCGAGUGGCAGCUCUAUGAGGUGGGGCUCUGGCUUGACAUUGGUUGGGUGGCAUUCUUGUUCCGCUUGGGCGGUAGGGAUGUCGGCUCGGUCGAUGCGCCUCAGAGGAGGCGGUCUGACUUUACGUCGGGGCGGCGGCUCCGGAUUUGGUGCGACGUUCGUGGUCUGCGAGUGGUUGCCCUGAGCAGCAUGGGCUGCGGGCAACUGGGUUGUGCGGCGUUGCUGCUCGAGGGGAGCGGUGGUAUGUCGGGGCGGCGGCCCAGGAAGGCGGUGCCAGUUGAUUGCGCUGGGCGCGACGGAGCGGUGGAUGUCGGGGCGGCGGCCCCGAGAGAAUCUCUGUGGUGACCAGACUCUUGUGGCAACAAUGAUGAUGGGAGCGAUGUCGGCGACGUGACAAUGAUUGUGGUAGUCAGCUCUUCUCCGGCGUGUCCACGGUUUUGCCUCGGGUUGCUUGUUGCUGUGGAGUCGAAGCUGCGGCGGCGGGGCCCUGUGGUGUACGAUGACUGGCUGUAGGUGCCCGUUCGGCGAUCUUCCGUGGCGCCAGCUGUGUCUGGUUUUGUCCUUCUGAGUUCUCCGUCAGAGUCGGAGCUGCGUUGUCUGGCCGCAAGUCGACUUGUCGUCGAUUAGGGUGGGCUUUGCCCUAUGUGUUUCAGUCUAUGGGAGUGGGCUUGGCCUUGUUGUUCCGGUUUUGCCCGGUUUUCCGUAAUUAACUGGGCAAUUCUCUUCUGCUUAAUUAAUAGAUGAGGCAAUCUUUGCCUCCGUUUCAAAAAAAAGAUGGAAGAGGUAACAAAUUAAUGGGUGCACCAGACACUACUAGGAAAAGGGCUAUAGAUAGGAUUGAUACUAAUGGCGCACCAGGUAAGUAGUGCGCCACUACUAUAUACUAAUGGCGCAUCGGUUAGAGGUGCGCCAUUAGUGUGGAAGACACUAAUGGCGCACCAGACACACGGUGCGCCACUAGUAUUGAUUUUUUUUCUAUUUUUCCAUACAUACUAAUGGCGCAUGAUGUCAAAGUGCGCCAUUACUAGUUCUAACUAGUAAUGGCGCACCUUAUAGACAGUGCGCCAUUNNNNNNNNNNNNNNNNNNNNNNNNNNNNNNNNNNNNNNNNNNNNNNNNNNNNNNNNNNNNNNNNNNNNNNNNNNNNNNNNNNNNNNNNNNNNNNNNNNNNNNNNNNNNNNNNNNNNNNNNNNNNNNNNNNNNNNNNNNNNNNNNNNNNNNNNNNNNNNNNNNNNNNNNNNNNNNNNNNNNNNNNNNNNNNNNNNNNNNNNNNNNNNNNNNNNNNNNNNNNNNNNNNNNNNNNNNNNNNNNNNNNNNNNNNNNNNNNNNNNNNNNNNNNNNNNNNNNNNNNNNNNNNNNNNNNNNNNNNNNNNNNNNNNNNNNNNNNNNNNNNNNNNNNNNNNNNNNNNNNNNNNNNNNNNNNNNNNNNNNNNNNNNNNNNNNNNNNNNNNNNNNNNNNNNNNNNNNNNNNNNNNNNNNNNNNNNNNNNNNNNNNNNNNNNNNNNNNNNNNNNNNNNNNNNNNNNNNNNNNNNNNNNNNNNNNNNNNNNNNNNNNNNNNNNNNNNNNNNNNNNNNNNNNNNNNNNNNNNNNNNNNNNNNNNNNNNNNNNNNNNNNNNNNNNNNNNNNNNNNNNNNNNNNNNNNNNNNNNNNNNNNNNNNNNNNNNNNNNNNNNNNNNNNNNNNNNNNNNNNNNNNNNNNNNNNNNNNNNNNNNNNNNNNNNNNNNNNNNNNNNNNNNNNNNNNNAUAUUUACUUUUUUGCAAAACUACUAAUGGCGCACCAUGUCAAAGUGCGCCAUUACUAGUUUAAACUACUAAUGGCGCACUUUUCCACAGUGCGCCAUUAGUAUAUAUUUUUUUUUACUAUUCUGCAAAAACUACUAAUGGCGCACCACCCACAGGUGCACCAUUAGUAACUAGGGUUACUAAUGGCGCAUUUGCUGGUGGUGCGCCAUUAGUAACCUGGGACCAACAAGAUAUUUUGGACAGCCCACCUGCCCACUCACUUCCCCACUUCAUUCUCUCCACCUCCUCCUCCAAGCUUGUCUCGGCUGCCUCCUCCUCCUCACCUCAUUUCCAUCAUAGAUUCAUCAAAAUUAAGUGGUGAAAUUACCUUUUUUUGAUAGGUAAGUAAGGGGAAAGCUAUCUUCAUGAUGUAGAUCUACUUUUUUUCUCCCUAGCUUGCUCCAACAACGUGCACAUGCACUUUUUGUGGCCUAGCUAGAUCUAUGUAUGUUUGUGGUGUUGCUUGUGUUUGUGGUGUUGCAUAUAUGUUUGUGUUUGCAGGUAUCGGUAUUUGAAAUGCGAUAGUUGCCAAUAUUUUGCCGGAAUGUUGAUUCAGUUCCGUUUCGGCGAGAAUUUUGGCACUAUGUAUUCUUUUUGGUCCUAUUUUUAGGGAAGGUCAUGCCAAAUUUUUUCUUGGUUCUAAAAUAUCGUUUUGCUCUACCCCGCAGGCGACCAUGGUCCGCACGAUGACCGAAGGCAUCGUGAAUAGGUUUUUGAGCUCCGCGAAGGCCGAGAUGCUUCAAAAGAACGAGACGGAGAUAAGAUGUCCGUGUCGAAGAUGCAAGCUGAAGAGCCUUAUUGCGGACCCGGAUUCCGGGCAGGUGCGGGACCACCUGCUCUUGCGUGGUUUCAUGGAUGGCUAUCGGUGGCAAGGUGAUGAAGAUGACUAUGAAGUCAUACAUGGGGGCCGAGCAAGAAAUGAGGAAGGGUAACAAGACAAGUACCACCGCGGCAAGGGCGGGCGAGAAGACGAAGAAUCUCCAGGACAUGAUCACGGCGGUGAUGCUGUACACAGUCAUCAUGUAGAAGAUGUCGUACAUGACAAUGAGGAAGAUCAAGACGAAGGGCAUGAUCAUGAAGAUGAAGAUGCCGGAGCAGACGACGAUGGAGGCUGGAUGCAGGACCCUCAUAUUCAAGAGCUGCUUCUCAAGCAGACGGAUAACGCAAGAGCUGCCGCUCGAGAGAAAGCCAAGCUGGAUCAACUGGAGAUAGACGCGGUUACUCCAUUGUAUGAAGGAUGCAGGCCCAAGGAUACCCGCCUGAAAGUAACGCUCAUGGCUCUGGAGAUGAAGGUAAAACACAAAAUGACCGACGCAUGCUUCGAUGAGAACAUGUCAUUCUGGCACGAACGUUUUCCCAAGGGGAACAAGUGCCCGACCAGUUUCGAGGAGGCGAAGAAAAUCGUGUGUCCUCUGGAUUUACCGCACGUGAAAUACCAUGUGUGCAUGAACAAUUGCAUCAUUUAUCGGGACGAGCACGCGGAGUCUACCAUAUGUCCGGUGUGCAGCGUCACUUGAUACAAGAAGAGGAAGAAAGCUCCUCGAAAAUCAGUGUGGUAUUUUCCGAUCACUCCUCGUCUGCAGUGGUAUUUCACGGACCCUAAGGUAGCAAAGCUCCUGCAUUGGCACGUGGAUAGGGAGGAGAAGAAGCGGGAAGAUGACGGAAAUGAUCCGGAGAUAAAUAAAAAAGACAAGAUGCUGAGUCACCCUAAGGAUGCGAGCCAGUGGCAAGCGUUGAACUUCGAAUACCCAGAAUUUGGAAAGGAUCCAAGGAGCAUCGUGCUGGGCGCGAGCACCGAUAGAGUCAAUCUGUUUGGCAGCCAGAGAAGCACACAUAGCACCUGGCCUGUGUUUGUAUGGAUGUACAACCUUCCCCCCUGGUUGUGCAUGAAGAGGAAGUACAUUCACAUGAGUAUGCUAAUUGAAGGGCCGAAACAACCAGGGAACAACAUCAAUCUGUAUCUGGGGCUGCUGAAGGAGGAGCUAGACACGCUGUGGAAAACGCCAGCCAAUACGUGGGACGCCGCAGAGAAAGAAUAUUUCCCUAUGAGAGCCGCACUGCUCACGACGGUGCACGACUAUCUCAGUUACGGAUAUCUCGCGGGGCAGGUAGUCCACGGAUUUUCUGGAUGCGUAAGGUGCAUGGAUGACACAACGUAUCGCCAGCUAGAUAGAGAUCCCGGGUCUUCGAAAACCGUGUUCAUGGGACAUCGAAGGUGGCUUCGCGACGAUGACCCGUGGAGGAAACGCAAGGAUAUGUUCAAUGGUGAAACCGAACCCCGGAAACGCCCGUGUACGAGGAGCGGCGAGGAAAUAGACGAGCUGUUGAAAAAUUGGAAAGACUGCCCACUGCCGUAAAAGAAGCAAAAGGCGCCAGAGCCGGGAAAAAACCGAAAGGCGCCAGAGCCACUGCUGAAGGUAUGGAAAACGAGGUCUGUUUUCUGGGACUUGCCGUACUAGAAGAUCCAUCGUGUGCCUCACAACCUUGAUGUCAUGCAUAUCACGAAGAACGUGUGCGAGAGUCUGCUUGGUACCCUGCUCAACAUGCCAGAGAGGACCAAAGAUGGACCGAAAGCAAGGGCAGACUUGAGAUCAAUGGGCAUCAGGCAGGAGCUUCACGCUAAUGAUGAUGAUGAUGAUGAUGAUGAUGAUGAGGCGAAGCAGGACACAGAAAGUCAUCGCAAAGGCAAAAAGGCCAAGAAGACCGGAAAUGACUACCCUCCCGCGUGCUUCACUCUAAGUCAGGAGGAUAUCGAGCAGUUUUUCACCUGCCUCCUAGGACUAAAACUUCCUUACGGUUACGCGGGGAAGAUAAGCAGAUACCUAGACCCAGCGAAGCAGAAGUUCAGCGGGAUGAAGUCUCACGACUGUCACGUGCUGAUGACGCAGAUACUUCCAGUUGCAAUCCGUGGGAUCAUGGACGUGCACGUCCGUGAAACGCUAUUUGGCCUAUGCAACUUUUUCGACGUCAUCUCUCGGAAGUCGAUUGGCGUGAGGCAACUCAGAAGGCUACAGGAAGAGAUCGUGGUGAUACUAUGCGAGCUUGAGAUGUACUUCCCGCCCGCAUUCUUCGACGUUAUGGUGCAUCUGCUGGUCCAUAUCGUGGAGGAUAUCAUCCAACUCGGGCCGACGUUCCUGCACAACAUGAUGUCGUUCGAAAGGAUGAAUGGUGUCAUCAAAGGAUACGUUCGCAACAUGUCACGUCCAGAGGGAAGUAUAGCCAGGGGCUUUCUGACCGAAGAGUGCAUCUCCUACUGCACGAAUUAUCUAGGCAUCGAGAACCCCGUUGGUCUGCCCGUCAACAGGCACCUAGGCAGGCUCGCUGGAUGGGGUCACCGUGAGGGUCGCCGCGAAAUGCAUGUCGACUUCGAGGGUCGACUCGCCGACUUUGAAAGAGCAAACCUAGUCGCGCUACAACACAUAGACGUGGUCGAUCCUUGGGUGGUAGAGCACAAAACCUUUAUUGAGAAGACGUACAAUGAUCGAGGCCAACAGAGGACGGACAGAGAUAUAAUCAAAGAGCACAACUCAUGUUUCACGCGUUGGUUCAAGCAGAAGCUUCUGUCGUACCCUUUACAUGAGGAUUCUUCCGCGGAAGAACAACUCAUAUUCGCCUUGUCACAGGGCGCCGAGCACAACCUGAUGACCUAUGAGGCGUACGAUAUCAACGGCUACACAUUCUACACCGAGGACAAGGACAUGAAGAGCGAUGGUUAUCAGAACUCCGGGGUAACGAUGGAAUCCUACACCGGCAACGACAAGGACAGAUACUACGGAAGGAUCGAGGAGAUCUGGGAGCUGAGCUACGCUGGAGAGAAGGUCCCGAUGUUCCGUGUCAGAUGGGCCAAGAGCGUCCUAAAAGAAGACCGGUAUUUCACCACCAUGGUUAUACUCGAAGCCAAAUCCAAGACCGCGGGCGCAAACGUCACCGCGAAAAAUGAGCCAUGGGUACUAGCUUCCCAAGUGGACCAAUGCUUCUUCAUUACCGACCCGUCAAAGCCCAGUCGUGUUGUCAUGAGGAGAGGCAAAAGGAAGAUCAUCGGAAUGGAUGGAGUAGCCAAUGAGCAAGACUUCGACAAGUACGGCGACCCGAAGAUCGAACAUGACGACGACGAUGAAGUAGCAGCACACACCACAAGAAGAAGCAGGACAACCCUACCUAAAGGAUGUCCGUUCCACAGAAGAACUCCAUUUGCGAAAAAGAAGGGCAAGAAGAUUGUGAACAGAUAGCUAGCUAAGAUCGAUUGUAUUUAAAUCGUAGUCUUCAUUUCUCGAUUGUAUUUCAUGGGCACUUUUUGAUAUCAUGAAUAUUUUUAAAUUUCAUGGACACUUUUUGAUCUCGAUCUCGAUCCCACCCGCACCCUCCCCCGCUAGCUCCACCGCCGCCGAUGACCCACCGCAACCCUCCACCGCUAGCUCCACCGCCGCNNNNNNNNNNNNNNNNNNNNNNNNNNNNNNNNNNAAUAAAAAAGUGUAGACUACAAUUGUUGUUAAACAACAAUUAUUACUGUUUUUAUAAAAAAUAUUACUGUUUCAUAUUCAUAUUCAUUUUCUAAAAAAUUAUUACAUGCAACAAAAAAUAAAAAUAAAUUACUUAUGGCGCACCUCUGGCUGGUGCGCCAUUGCUAUAUAUAUAAAAAAGAUUACUAAUGGCGCACCUCUGCCUGGUGCGCCAUUGCUAUGUAAAAAAAAAUACUAAUGGCGCACCGACCGCGGGUGCGCCAUUAGUAAGAUUCCCCCCUAGCUAAUUCCCUCCAUCUCACCAGAUCCCCUUCGUCCCUCUCCCUCGCCAGAUCCACUUCCCCCUGCUGCCCCGACCCACGCCGCCGCCGCCCCGCGCCUCCGUCUCCGUCGCCGCCCCCAGUCAGCCCCUGCCCUGCCCCCCAUCGCCGUCCGCUCCCAAUCCACCCCCUCCCUCGCCUUCACCGCACCCACCCACCCCUCCCUCGCCUUCCCAACCCUUGAAANNNNNNNNNNNNNNNNNNNNNNNNNNNNNNNNNNNNNNNNNNNNNNNNNNNNNNNNNNNNNNNNNNNNNNNNNNNNNNNNNNNNNNNNNNNNNNNNNNNNNNNNNNNNNNNNNNNNNNNNNNNNNNNNNNNNNNNNNNNNNNNNNNNNNNNNNNNNNNNNNNNNNNNNNNNNNNNNNNNNNNNNNNNNNNNNNNNNNNNNNNNNNNNNNNNNNNNNNNNNNNNNNNNNNNNNNNNCUCCACCGUGCCUUCUCCGCUCGAGCUCCACCGUGCGAGGCGACAGGCAAGGCGACGGGCAGAAUCUGCUUCAACAUCGGGCCGGCGAGCCGCGGAACCAGGGCGCGACGGUGCUCGACCCCUCCACCCCCCCCUCCACCUCUUCUUCCUCAGGUCGCCGUUGUCUUCCUCAACUCCGGCCACCUCUGUUGCUACUAAGCUAUCGCAGGGCCUCAUUCCGCCUCCCCGGUGAGCUCCGCCUCCUCUCCCCUCUUCCUUCUCGCAAACACUCUGUUUGUCCAGCAAAUCGACGAUGGACAGAAGCAGCGGUGGUGCCGGAGUUGAGUUCAGUUAGUAGAACUAGCGCUAGUUCCUUCCGUGAUCCUGUAGGCCGAGAGGUGGGUCUCUGGUGAAGCUGGAAUUGCAGAAGCUUUCACCCGAGUUAGCCUGAAUGUGAUGUGGUCGAUGUUGAGAUGUCUCCUCUAUGUAGUCUGUAGGUUGUUCUACUUUUAGGUACCGUGGGCUGUGAAGUGAACUUGCCGGGUUUAACCAUCUGACCUCUUAUGUAUAUAUUAGUAUCUAAGAUCAGCAGACAUUAGUCUAUUUGUGCGCCUAGUUAGUGACUUGUGGAGUUGGCCCGGUUAAUGCUUUGCUCUGUGAUGCAAGAUGUUAGGCUCUGGCACUUUACAGAGUUUCUUUGUGAAAUCCCUAACUGUGAGUCUUGCUAGUGAUCUAAUUGUGAUAAUCCUGCUCACAUCCCCACUUGCAGCAGAGGCAGGCAAUGCCUCUAUAUGCUCUGUUUUACUGCCUAGCUAGAGCACAAACCUAGCCCUAGUUGUGUAUUCCCAAUUGCUAGUGGUCUAACUGAUGUUUCCCUAGUUGGGUGAGACUGACUUGGCUCUUUCUUGGAGGAGACAGAUCAAACAAGUGUUGUCAGUUUUUGUUUGAACUUCAAAGAGUGUUGUGACUUGGCUCUUAAUCAAAAGACUGUUGUCAGUUUUUGUUUGAACUUUGUUUGACUGGAGGAAAUUACUCUUAAAUGCUAGUCCUAUUCUGGUGGAGAUUUUUCUUGUCCUGAGUUACACUGAAGAUAUUUUUCUGAUAAUAUUAUAAAAACUGCCUGGUGUGUGUUCAACUUGUAUCUUCUAGCUUAAGUUUAACUUGUCCUGAGUUACACUCAAGUUAUAAUGUGUUUAACUUGUAACUUCUAGCUUAAGUGAGUAUCCAGUACUGUAGUCAGUAGCUUAACUUGUUUAAGUACUGCUAAUUAGUUGUACUGAUAUUAAAUGAUGCCUGAAAUGAUGUAUCAUGUAUCUUUAGCAUGAUCUAUUUCAGAUAAUAAGUGAAGGCUUGCUAUGUUGUUGCAGCCAGCUAUUUUUUGUUUCCUCAUUUGGAUUACUCGGUUAUUUAGUUUAUUAUUACUUGGGAAAAGUACUAUGAGAAAAAAAUGAUUUUCUGCAUUGCAUUGUUAAAUGUUGUACUUGGGCACAAUACCUUUUCAUCCAUCAUUUACACUGUGAAUCCAAUACCAGUUGCCCAUGCUGAUUACUUCACUUCAAACAUGCCACCUAGUGGCACAAAGCUCCAUCAGAAACAGAAUCAAAGCAGUGUAGUGGCAUGGCCAUUGACCCAUGGCUGGCAUCUAGACACCACACACAUACAUACAAAGGCACAUUGACUAUUACUAUGGCAAGUACUGUGUCAAGUACUCCAUGUGUUUUUGUUGGCAGUUUAUCAUGAAAUUGCAGGUACCCCGAGAGGCCCUUGAGUUUGCCGGAAUGUCGAUUAACUUCCGUUCCGGCAAAUUCAGGUACUCCAUAUGUCCUAUUUUCAGCAAAGGUCAUGCUGAAAUUUUCCGUGAAUUUUAGCAUGACUUUGCUAAAAAUAGGACAUAUGGGGUACUUGCGACUAAUGCAUGGGCCGGGGUAUCUUAGUACUUAGUUAAGUAGGAUCAACUGCCCCGCCAUUCUUGCUGCAUUAAACCAUAGGUGGCAGUAGAGCCAAGUGAUUAGGCCCAACUUAGAAUUCUCCUUAGCAUCGAUAAACCCUAGAUGAUAAACCCAACAUAGGUGGCAAUAGAGCCAAGUGAUUAGUGCCAAGUGAUUAGGCCCAACCUAGGGUGCCUCUGUUGCGGAACGUAGUAAUUUCAAAAAAUUUCCUACGCACACGCAAGAUCAUGGUGAUGAUAUAGCAAUGAGAGGGGAGAGUGUCCGUCCACGUACCCUUGUAGACCGUAAGCGGAAGCGUCAGCACAACGCGGUUGAUGUAGUCGUACGUCUUCAUGAUCCGACCGAUCCAAGCACCGAACGUACGGGGCCUCCGAGUUCAGUACACAUUCAGCUCGAUGACGAUCUCCGGCCCUCCGAUCCAGCAAAGGCUCCGGAGAUGAGUUCCGUCAGCACGACGGCGUGGUGAUGAUGAUGAUGCUCUACCGGCACAGGGCUUCGCCUAAACUCCGCGACGAUAUGACCGAGGUGGAAUAUGGUGGAAGGGGGCACCGCACACGGCUAAGGAACGUCCGUAGAUCAACUUGUGUCUCCUUGGGGUGCCCCCCGCCCCCGUAUAUAAAGGAGCCAGGGGGGAGGAGGCCGCCGGCCUAGAGGGCGCGCCAAGGGGGGGAGUCCUACUCCCACCGGGAGUAGGACUCCCCUUUUCCAAGUAGGAGUAGGAGAAGGGGGGAAAGAGGAGGAAGAGGGGAAGGAAAGGGGGGGCGCCGCCCCCCUUCCCUUGUCCUAUUCGGACUAGGAGGGGGAGGGGCGCGCGGCCCCUUCCUGGCUCCUUCCCUCUUCUCCCUCUUGGCCCAUGUAGGCCCAUUAACCCCCGGGGGGGUUCCGGUAACCUCCCGGUACUCGGAGUAAAAUGCCGAUUUCACCCGGAACCAUUCCGAUAUCCAAACAUAGGCUUCCAAUAUAUCAAUCUUUAUGUCUCGACCAUUCCGAGACUCCUCGUCAUGUCCGUGAUCACAUCCGGGACUCUGAACAAACUUCGGUACAUCAAAACUUAUAAACUCAUAAUAAAACUGUCAUCGAAACGUUAAGCGUGCGGACCCUACGGGUUCGAGAACUAUAUAGACAUGACCUAAAACCAUUCUCGGUCAAUAACCAAUAGCGGGACCUGGAUGCCCAUAUUGGUUCCUACAUAUUCUAUGAAGAUCUUUAUCGGUCAAACCGCAUAACAACAUACAUUGUUCCCUUUGUCAUCGGUAUGUUACUUGCCCGAGAUUUGAUCGUCGGUAUCCAAUACCUAGUUCAAUCUCAUUACUGGCAAGUCUCUUUACUCGUUCUGUAAUACGUCAUAUCAUAACCAACUCAUUAGUUAUAAUGCUUGCAAGGCUUAAGUGAUGAGUAUUACCGAGAGGGCCUAGAGAUACCUCUCCGACAAUCGGAGUGACAAAACCUAAUCUCGAAAUACGCCAACUCAACAUGUACCUUCGGAGACACCUGUAGUACUCCUUUAUAAUCACCCAGUUACGUUGUGACGUUUGGUAGUACCCAAAGUGUUCCUCCGGUAAACGGGAGUUGCAUAAUUCUCAUAGUUACAGGAACAUGUAUAAGUCAUGAAGAAAGCAACAGCAGAAUACUAAACGAUCAAGUGCUAAGCUAAUGGGAUGGGUCAUGUCAAUCACAUCAUUCUCCUAAUGAUGUGAUCUCAUUAAUCAAAUGACAACACAUGUCUAUGGUUAGGAAACAUAACCAUCCUUGAUCAAUGAGCUAGUCAAGUAGAGGCAUACUAGUGACUAUAUGUUUGUCUAUGUAUUCACACAUGUAUCAUGUUUCCGGUUAAUACAAUUCUAGCAUGAAUAAUAAACAUUUAUCAUGAUAUGAGGAAAUAAAUAAUAACUUUAUUAUUGCCUCUAGGUCAUAUUUCCUUCAGCCUCGGCUUAGGCUUUUAGGGUGCCUCGGCGUCGACAAACCCUAAAUGAUAAAAGCUUAGCUUUUAGGAUGCCUCGGUGUCGACAAACCCUAAAUGAUGAGACCAUGAUCUUGUUCCUUGACAAUAACCAACUUUUUAACCAAACUUUUUUCCUAUUUAGAGCGAAACAUGGCCCACAACAAUGAGGCCGGUGGUUCGGGCGGCAAGCAAUUCUGGGAGCUGUCCCAGGAGAUGGAGGAACAACCUCAUCGCUAUGAGGACGCCGCGGAAGACACCGAUCCUGAUUACACAACCCCUAGUGGCGUCGGGGAUGACACCACUGAUGGUGCCGCCGAGGAUGCCACCACUGAUGAUGGUGGCGCACACACAGAUGGCAGCCAACCGAAGAAGCAAAGGAAGGACCGGCGCCCGAAUGCACUCCGCACCCUCAUGGAGGAAUUCACUCAAGUGGACUCCGAUGGGAAUCCAACGGAGCCCAAACAUAUAGUCAAGGGGUACGCGCUUCAGCUCGGGUGCAUUCUCCGGAGCACCGUCUCGAUCAACACCGAUAACCUUAGGAAUAAGGACCACGGGAAUUUGCGCAACCUCCUCUUCACGAAGCUGCACGAACGAUACAAGUUCCCCGCCAGAUUUGAAAACAAACGCCUCUCAGGGAAUAAAGUGAACAGUGCCGCCCUCACGAAGAUGAGCACGACCCUGUCUACUUGGAGAAGCGCGGUGAAGAGAAUGAUUGAUAAAGGUGAUACUUAUGAGAAGAUCAAGGCGAAAUAUCCUUUGAUGAGCGAAGAUGAGUACAAGGAGUUCAAGAUCAAGUGCGAGAGCAGCGCAACCUCCGAAUCAAGUCAAUGGGGGAAAGAAAUGCGGGAGUUGAACUUAGGGGAACACAAACUCGGUCCCGGCGGUUACAGAGUGGCGGAACCUAUAUGGGACAAGGAGGACGCGGAGCGUGCUGAGCAAGGCCUACCGCCCCGCUUUGAGAAAUACAACGGUAACAAGUAGGCCAGGAACUAUGUCAGGGCCCGGUACAAGGAGGACCCGAUAACAAAGGAGCUUACCACGGAUCCGAAGACCAGGGUGCUUGAGCUUGUUCUGGUAAGGAAUACACCCCCGCGUAAUUAGCUCCAUAUGGUUGCACUCUAAUUAAUCCCCAAUAUUUCUAAAUGGUUCACGUUCCUUUCGCAGGACACUGAAAGCAGUAGCGCGGGGUCGUCUCAGAGCUCCCCUUUCGACACCCCUUUAAAUAGGGCGUUGAACAUAAUGAAAAGCAAGGAUAAGCUCACUAAGCCGACGUCAGCUGGUCGUGUGGCCGACAAAGGCUUGUCCACAAAAUGGGGGUCAUACUAUACCGCUGGUGUGCAGAAGGAGAAAAAGGCCAGCUCGGAAAGCCAGACGUGUGAGGUUGAAGCACUCAAGGCACAAGUGGCACGGAUUCCGGAGCUUGUCCAAGAGCAAGUGGAACAACAACUGGGAACGAAGCUCAAUGCCAUGGUGCCUACGUUGAUUCAUGGGCUGACGACGUGGAUUGCGGGCGGCCAACAGGGGCCUCCCCCGGUUCCCAGCUUCACGGCCAGCAACUCGCACAGCGCGCAGGCGGCGCCAUUGGUGUCUCCGGUGGCGGCGCCAUUGGUGUCUCCGGCGGAGGCGGUAUUCGUGUCUCCGGCGCCGGCACGGGCAUUGGAGCUUAAUGCACCCGGGUGUAUGCCGGUCGGCACCUCGCCAGCAAGCGCCCCCUCCGUCAGUUGCACGCCCGCCGUUGGCGGUGCCUUGACAUUAGCCGAGCUCGACGACAUCACGGUAACUAAGCCUCUCGGCCGAUGACUUCAUCUCCUUGCCUUUGACUGGGCAUCCCUGACGCCCUGUACAUGUUUUCGCAGGGCACCGCCGACGUUCCUUGCACUCUUCUGCACUUCGUGGGCGCCGAGUUGGUCGAUGUCGCCAAGGGCAGAAUCAUUCAACCGGGCAACCCCAUGUUCCACGGUAAUCCGAUGCCACCCACAAUGUAUAGGGUUGAAGUGGUUCGGGUGCUGCCAGGCUGCGACGAGCUGUUACCUCCGGUUCGACCCGCUGGGGCCGACGAAGAAGAUGAGAUGACCCUCAGCGCCUGCGUAAACUGGCCCCUUCUUUGGCCGAAGAGCCAGAUUCGUUUGGGAGCGGGGGACACCACCCCACAGACAAGACCGCCAGUCGUGCUGGCGCCAAGCCAUGGCAAGAACGCCGCAAUGCUACCGGACCUGCCGGACAUCCCUAUGUCAGACAUCCCUAUGGCACAGGAUCCGGACAGCCCUAUGGCACAGGAUCCGGACGAUGACGACAACGACGACAAUACAUUACCAAAGUCGAUAAGUACUUUGCCGAACAUGGGUACGCUGACGAGUUCUGCGGGCCUCUUUCUCAAGAACCCAACCAAGACGACCGCAAUCUAGCUGGUACGGCGGAGAAAUCCAAUUGCAACAGGCGUCGUCUGGCGUUCAGUUCUCAGGAGACGCCUCCAGCUCCCGCCUUCACCGAGCCUCAAAUAGCUGAGGUGCGAAAUAUUAUGAGCCCCAACACGCUCAAGAAGGCGGUCUGUGAGCAGAACUCGGUCCCAUUACAGGAGAUCAAGAAGAAGGGACAAAAACGAAAGACUAACAAGGGCGCCGGUGCGAGCCAGCCGGCACCGAGUUCGAUCCGUGCUCAGGACGGGCCACCUUCACCUAAGGAUAUCUUGAGGAGGGUGCAUGUGGCGGGUAGGGCGAUGCUACCGCCAAAUGUGCUGAAUGCUGCAACCGGUGCUAUACGGAGUCUGCACGACAGUGUUCUUUCUUUGGAGAAGCGGCGUCUCAGAGAGAAGGAUGUGGCAUACCCGGUUUUCGUGGCCAAGGUGCCAGAGGGCAAGGGCUUUGUGGAUGGCGACAUUGGGGGUACGAUCGUCCUGCGGUUUGAUGACAUCUUUGCUAUGUUUAACCUUCAUCCGCUGCACUACACCUUCGUUCGGCUGUUUUCGCUGAGUAUGGAGAUGCGGAUCAUUAGAGACAAGACCCCGGACAUCGUGAUAGUCGACCCCUUCUACAUGCGUGCCAAGCACUUGAGCAGCGCUGGGGACCGCCAAGUUGCGAGUUCACACCUCGAAGGCGUCAUUCUGGCAAACCCAGAUAAGGAUAACUUCCUUGUGGCUUACUUUCCCGAGUAAGUCAUCCCUUAACCGCCCUGUAACAUAUGAUUUCUUAGAUUUUGAUCGUUCUUUUUUUUUCUAACAUUCCGUGUUCUAUGCAGUGACACACAUUGCACACUCAUCCUCUUAAGCCCGAAAUAUUCCAUGGCCACGUAUUUCGACCCGAACCGUAACUCCAAGAUAGACUACACAAAUGUCAAGAAAGUUCUUGAUGAUGUUCUCCCCGGCUACGCCAAAUCUGGAGGCACCUUCACCAGGACUAUUUGUAAGUACGGCAAGCACAUGUUCUCACACAAUACGAAGUUCUGCUGCGUCAAGCAGCCGCCUGGCGGUCAGAAGGAUGCCUACCACGCCCUCCAUCUGUUGGGUUUCGUAGUAAUUUCAAAAUUUUCCUACGCACACGCAAGAUCAUGUGAUGCAUAGCAACGAGGGAAGAGUAUUGUCUACGUACCCUACGCAGACCGACUGCGGAAGCGAUGACACGACGUAGAGGAAGUAGUCGUACGUCUUCACGAUCCAACCGAUCAAGCACCGAAACUACGGCACCUCCGAGUUCGAGCACACGUUCAGCUCGAUGACGAUCCCCGGACUCCGAUCCAGCAAAGUGUCGGGGAAGAGUUCCGUCAGCACGACGGCGUGGUGACGAUCUUGAUGAACUACAGCAGCAGGGCUAUGCCUAAACUCCGCUACAGUAUUAUCGAGGAAUAUGGUGGCAGGGGGCACCGCACACGGCUAAGGAAUCGAUCACGUGGAUCAACUUGUGUCAACUUGUGUGUUUAGAGGUGCCCCUGCCUCCGUAUAUAAAGGAGUAGAGGGGGGGAGGCUGGCCGGCCAUAGAGGGAGGCGCAGGAGAGUUCUACUCCCUCUGGGAGUAGGAUUCCUCCCCCCAAUCCUAGUCCAACUAGGAUUCCUCGGAGGGGAAGGGAGAGAGGGGGGCCGGCCACCUUCUCCUAGUCCUAAUAGGACUAGGGGAGGGGGAAGAGGCGCAGCCACCUUGGGCUGCCCCUUUCUCCUUUCCACUAAGGCCCAUGAAGGCCCAUAUGGCUCCCGGGGGGUUCCGGUAACCCUCCCGGUAACCCGGUAAAAUCCCGAUUUCACCCGGAACACUUCCGAUGUCCAAACAUAGGCUUCCAAUAUAUCAAUCUUUACGUCUCGACCAUUUUGAGACUCCUCGUCAUGUCCGUGAUCACAUCCGGGACUCCGAACAACCUUUGGUACAUCAAAAUGCAUAAACUCAUAAUAUAACUGUCAUCGUAACCUUAAGCGUGCGGACCCUACGGGUUCGAGAACAAUGUAGACAUGACCGAGACACAUCUCCGGUCAAUAACCAAUAGCGGGACCUGGAUGCCCAUAUUGGCUCCUACAUAUUCUACGAAGAUCUUUAUCGGUCAGACCGCAUAACAACAUACGUUGUUCCCUUUGUCAUCGGUAUGUUACUUGCCCGAGAUUCGAUCGUCGGUAUCCAAUACCUAGUUCAAUCUCGUUAUCGGCAAGUCUCUUUACUCGUUCCGUAAUACAUCAUCUCACAACUAACAUAUUAGUUGUAAUGCUUGCAAGGCUUAUGUGAUGUGUAUUACCGAGAGGGCCCAGAGAUACCUCUCCAACAAUUGGAGUGACAAAUCCUAAUCUCGAAAUACGCCAACCCAACAUCGACCAUUGGAGACACCUGUAGUACUCCUUUAUAAUCACCCAGUUACGUUGUGACGUUUGGUAGUACCCAAAGUGUUCCUCCGGUAAACGGGAGUUGCAUAAUCUCAUAGUCAUAGGAACAUGUAUAAGUCAUGAAGAAAGCAAUAGCAACACACUAAACGAUCGGGUGCUAAGCUAAUGGAAUGGGUCAUGUCAAUCAGAUCAUUCUACUAAUGAUGUGACCUCGUUAAUCAAAUAACAACUCAUUGUUCAUGGUUAGGAAACAUAACCAUCUUUGAUUAACGAGCUAGUCAAGUAGAGGCAUACUAGUGACACUCUGUUUGUCUAUGUAUUCACACAUGUAUUAUGUUUCCGGUAAAUACAAUUCUAGCAUGAAUAAUAAACAUUUAUCAUGAUUAUAAGGAAAUAAAUAAUAAAUUUAUUAUUGCCUCUAGGGCAUAUUUCCUUCAGUCUCCCACUUGCACUAGAGUCAAUAAUCUAGAUUACACUGUAAUGAUUCUAACACCCAUGGAGCCUUGGUGCUGAUCAUGUUUUGCUCGUGGAAGAGGCUUAGUCAACGGGUCUGCAACAUUCAGAUCCGUAUAUAUCUUGCAAAUCUCUAUGUCUCCCACCUGGACUAGAUCCCGGAUGGAGUUGAAGCGUCUCUUGAUGUGUUUGGUCCUUUUGUGAAAUCUGGAUUCCUUUGCUAAGGCAAUUGCACCAGUAUUGUCACAAAAGAUUUUCAUUGGACCCGAUGCACUAGGUAUGACACCUAGAUCGGAUAUGAACUCCUUCAUCCAGACUCCUUCAUUUGCUGCUUCCGAAGCAGCUAUGUAUUCCGCUUCACAUGUAGAUCCCGCUACAACGCUUUGUUUAGAACUGCACCAACUGACAGCUCCACCGUUUAAUGUAAACACGUAUCCGGUUUGCGAUUUAGAAUCGUCCGGAUCAGUGUUAAAGCUUGCAUCAACGUAACCUUUUACGGUGAGCUCUUUGUCACCUCCAUAUACGAGAAACAUAUCCUUAGUCCUUUUCAGGUAUUUCAGGAUGUUCUUGACCGCUGUCCAGUGAUCCACUCCUGGAUUACUUUGGUACCUCCCUGCUAAACUUAUAGCAAGGCACACAUCAGGUCUGGUACACAGCAUUGCAUACAUGAUAGAGCCUAUGGCAGAUGCAUAGGGAACAUCUUUCAUAUUCUCUCUAUCUUCUGCAGUGGUCGGGCAUUGAGUCUUACUCAAUUUCACACCUUGUAACACAGGCAAGAACCCUUUCUUCGCUUGAUCCAUUUUGAAUUUCUUCAAAAUUUUGUCAAGGUAUGUGUUUUGUGAAAGUCCAAUUAAGCGUCUUGAUCUAUCUCUAUAGAUCUUAAUGCCUAAUAUGUAAGCAGCUUCACCGAGGUCUUUCAUUGAAAAACUUUUAUUCAAGUAUCCCUUUAUGCUAUCCAGAAAUUCUAUAUCAUUUCCAAUCAGUAAUAUGUCAUCCACAUAUAAUAUCAGAAAUGCUACAGAGCUCCCACUCACUUUCUUGUAAAUACAGGCUUCUCCGAAAGUCUGUAUAAAACCAAAUGCUUUGAUCACACUAUCAAAACGUUUAUUCCAACUCCGAGAGGCUUGCACCAGUCCAUAAAUGGAUCGCUGGAGCUUGCACACUUUGUUAGCUCCCUUUGGAUCGACAAAACCUCCUGGUUGCAUCAUAUACAACUCUUCUUCCAGAAAUCCAUUCAGGAAUGCAGUUUUGACAUCCAUCUGCCAAAUUUCAUAAUCAUAAAAUUCGGCAAUCGCUAACAUGAUUCGGACGGACUUAAGCAUCGCUACGGGUGAGAAGGUCUCAUCGUAGUCAAUCCCUUGAACUUGUCGAAAACCUUUUGCGACAAGUCGAGCUUUGUAGACAGUAACAUUACCAUCAGCGUCAGUCUUCUUCUUAAAGAUCCAUUUAUUCUCAAUUGCUUGCCGAUCAUUGGGCAAGUCAACCAAAGUCCAUACUUUGUUCUCAUACAUGGAUCCCAUCUCAGAUUUCAUGGCUUCAAGCCACUUUGCGGAAUCUGGGCUCACCAUCGCUUCUUCAUAGUUCGUAGGUUCAUCAUGAUCUAGUAGCAUGACUUCCAGAACAGAAUUUCCGUACCACUCUGGCGCGGAUCUUACUCUGGUUGAUCUACGUGGUUCAGUAGUAUCUUGAUCUGAAGUUUCAUGAUCAUUAUCAUUGGAUUCCUCACUAACCGGUGUAGGUGUCACUGAAACAGUUUUCUGUGAUGAACUACUCUCCAGUAAGGGAGCAAGUACAGUUACCUCGUCAAGUUCUACUUUCCUCCCACUCACUUCUUUCGAGAGAAACUCCUUCUCUAGAAAUGAUCCAUUCUUAGCAACGAAUGUUUUGCCUUCGGAUCUGUGAUAGAAGGUGUACCCAACAGUUUCCUUUGGGUAUCCUAUGAAUACACAUUUCUCCGAUUUGGGUUCGAGCUUAUUAGGUUGAAGCUUUUUCACAUAAGCAUCGCAGCCCCAAACUUUAAGAAACGACAACUUUGGUUUCUUGCCAAACCAUAGUUCAUAAGGCGUCGUCUCAACGGAUUUUGAUGGUGCCCUAUUUAACGUGAAUGCGGCCGUCUCUAAAGCAUAACCCCAAAAUGAUAGCGGUAAAUCUGUAAGAGACAUCAUAGAUCACACCAUAUCUAGUAAAGUACGAUUACGACGUUCGGACACACCAUUGCGCUGUGGUGUUCCGGGUGGCGUGAGUUGUGAAACUAUUCCACAGUUUUUCAAAUGUACACCAAACUCGUAACUCAAAUAUUCUCCUCCACGAUCAGAUCGUAGAAACUUUAUUUUCUUGUUACGAUGAUUUUCAACUUCACUCUGAAAUUCUUUGAACUUUUCAAAUGUUUCAGACUUAUGCUUCAUUAAGUAGAUAUAUCCAUAUCUGCUCAAAUCAUCUGUGAAGGUGAGAAAAUAACGAUAUCCGCCACGAGCCUCAAUAUUUAUCGGACCACAUACAUCGGUAUGUAUGAUUUCCAACAAAUCUGUUGCUCUCUCCAUAGUACCGGAGAACGGUGUUUUAGUCAUCUUGCCCAUGAGGCACGGUUCGCAAGUACCAAGUGAUUCAUAAUCAAGUGGUUCCAAAAGUCCAUUAGUAUGGAGUUUCUUCAUGCGUUUUACACCGAUAUGACCUAAACGACAGUGCCACAAAUAAGUUGCACUUUCAUUAUUAACUCUGCAUCUUUUGGUUUCAACAUUAUGAAUAUGUGUAUUACUACUAUCGAGAUUUAGUAAGAAUAGACCACUCUUCAAGGGUGCAUGACCAUAAAAGAUAUUACUCAUAUAAAUAGAACAACCAUUAUUCUCUGAUUUAAAUGAAUAACCGUCUCGCAUUAAACAAGAUCCAGAUAUAAUGUUCAUGCUCAACGCUGGCACCAAAUAACAAUUAUUUAGGUCUAAUAUUAAUCCCGAAGGUAGAUGUAGAGGUAGCGUGCCGACCGCGAUCACAUCGACUUUGGAACCGUUUCCCACGCGCAUCGUCACCUCGUCCUUAGCCAAUCUUCGCUUAAUCCGUAGCCCCUGUUUCGAGUUGCAAAUAUUAGCAACAGAACCAGUAUCAAAUACCCAGGUGCUACUGCGAGCAUUGGUAAGGUACACAUCAAUAACAUGUAUAUCACAUAUACCUCUGUUCACCUUGCCAUCCUUCUUAUCCGCCAAAUACUUGGGGCAGUUCCGCUUCCAGUGACCAGUCUGCUUGCAGUAGAAGCACUCAGUUUCAGGCUUAGGUCUAGACUUGGGUUUCUUCUCUUGAGCAGCAACUGGCUUGCUGUUCUUCUUGAAGUUCCCUUUCUUCUUUCCUUUGCCCUUUUUCUUGAAACUAGUGGUUUUGUUAACCAUCAACACUUGAUACUCCUUUUUGAUUUCUACCUCCGCAGCUUUCAGCAUUGCGAAGAGCUCGGGAAUAGUCUUGUUCAUCCCUUGCAUAUUAUAGUUCAUCACGAAGCUCUUGUAGCUUGGUGGCAGUGAUUGGAGAACUCUGUCAAUGACGCAAUCAUCCGGAAGAUUAACUCCCAAUUGAAUCAAGUGAUUAUUAUACCCAGACAUUUUGAGUAUAUGCUCACUGACAGAACUGUUCUCCUCCAUCUUGCAGCUAUAGAACUUAUUGGAGACUUCAUAUCUCUCAAUCCGGGCAUUUGCUUGAAAUAUUAACUUCAACUCCUGGAACAUCUCAUAUGCUCCAUGAUGUUCAAAACGUUGUUGAAGUCCCGAUUCUAAGCCGUAAAGCAUGGCACACUGAACUAUCGAGUAGUCAUCAGCUUUGCUCUGCCAGACGUUCAUAACAUCUGGUGUUGCUCCAGCAGCAGGCCUGGCACCCAGCGGUGCUUCCAGGACGUAAUUCUUCUGUGCAGCAAUGAGGAUAAUCCUCAAGUUACGGACCCAGUCCGUGUAAUUGCUACCAUCAUCUUUCAACUUUGCUUUCUCAAGGAACGCAUUAAAAUUCAACGGAACAACAGCACGAGCCAUCUAUCUACAAUCAACAUAAACAAGCAAGAUACUUUUAGGGACUAAGUUCAUGAUAAAUUUUAAGUUCAAUUAAUCAUAUUACUAAAGAACUCCCACUUAGAUAGACAUCCCUCUAAUCCUCUAAGUGAUCACGUGAUCCAAAUCAACUAAACCAUGUCCGAUCAUCACGUGAGAUGGAGUAGUUUCAUCGGUGAACAUCAUUAUGUUGAUCAUAUCUACUAUAUGAUUCACGCUCGACCUUUCGGUCUCCGUGUUCCGAGGCCAUAUCUGCAUAUGCUAGGCUCGUCAAGUUUAACCUGAGUAUUCUGCGUGCGCAACUGUUUUGCACCCGUUGUAUUUGAACGUAGAGCCUAUCACACCCGAUCAUCACGUGGUGUCUCAGCACGAAGAACUUUCGCAACGGUGCAUACUCAGGGAGAACACUUCUUGAUAAUUUAGUGAGAGAUUAUCUUAUAAUGCUACCGUCAAUCAAAGCAAGAUAAGAUGCAUAAAAGAUAAACAUCACAUGCAAUCAAUAUAAGUGAUAUGAUAUGGCCAUCAUCAUCUUGUGCCUGUGAUCUCCAUCUCCGAAGCACCGUCAUGAUCACCAUCGUCACCGGCGCGACACCUUGAUCUCCAUCGUAGCAUCGUUAUCGUCUCGCCAAUCUUAUGCUUCCACGACUAUCACUACCGUUUAGUAAUAAAGUAAAGCAUUACAUCGCGAUUGCAUUGCAUACAAUAAAGCGACAACCAUAUGGCUCCAGCCAGUUGCCGAUAACUCGGUUACAAAACAUGAUCAUCUCAUACAAUAAAAUUCAGCAUCAUGCCUUGACCAUAUCACAUCACAACAUGCCCUGCAAAAACAAGUUAGACGUCUUCUACUUUGUUGUUGCAUGUUUUACGUGGCUGCUACGGGCUUAAGUAAGAACCAAUCUCACCUACGCAUCAAAACCACAACGAUAGUUUGUCAAAUAGACUCCGUUUUAACCUUCGCAAGGACCGGGCGUAGCCAUACUUGGUUCAACUAAAGUUGGAGAGACAGUCGCCCGCAAGCCAUCUCUGUGCAAAGCACGUCGAGGGAACCGGUCUCGCGUAAGCGUACGCGUAAGGUUGGUCUGGGUCGUCUCGUCCAACAAUACCGCCGAACCAAAGUAUGACAUGCUGGUAGGCAGUAUGACUUGUAUCGUCCACAACUCACUUGUGUUCUACUCGUGCAUAUAACAUCAACAUCAAUAACCUAGGCUCUGAUACCACUGUUGGGUUUCGUAGUAAUUUCAAAAUUUUCCUACGCACACGCAAGAUCAUGUGAUGCAUAGCAACGAGGGAAGAGUAUUGUCUACGUACCCUACGCAGACCGACUGCGGAAGCGAUGACACGACGUAGAGGAAGUAGUCGUACGUCUUCACGAUCCAACCGAUCAAGCACCGAAACUACGGCACCUCCGAGUUCGAGCACACGUUCAGCUCGAUGACGAUCCCCGGACUCCGAUCCAGCAAAGUGUCGGGGAAGAGUCCCUUAAGCACGACGGCGUGGUGACGAUCUUGAUGAACUACAGCAGCAGGGCUUUGCCUAAACUCCGCUACAGUAUUAUCGAGGAAUAUGGUGGCAGGGGGCACCGCACACGGCUAAGGAAUCGAUCACGUGGAUCAACUUGUGUCAACUUGUGUGUUUAGAGGUGCCCCUGCCUCCGUAUAUAAAGGAGUAGAGGGGGGGAGGCUGGCCGGCCAUAGAGGGAGGCGCAGGAGAGUCCUACUCCCUCUGGGAGUAGGAUUCCUCCCCCCAAUCCUAGUCCAACUAGGAUUCCUCGGAGGGGAAGGGAGAGAGGGGGGCCGGCCACCUUCUCCUAGUCCUAAUAGGACUAGGGGAGGGGGAAGAGGCGCAGCCACCUUGGGCUGCCCCUUUCUCCUUUCCACUAAGGCCCAUGAAGGCCCAUAUGGCUCCCGGGGGGUUCCGGUAACCCUCCCGGUAACCCGGUAAAAUCCCGAUUUCACCCGGAACACUUCCGAUGUCCAAACAUAGGCUUCCAAUAUAUCAAUCUUUACGUCUCGACCAUUUUGAGACUCCUCGUCAUGUCCGUGAUCACAUCCGGGACUCCGAACAACCUUCGGUACAUCAAAAUGCAUAAACUCAUAAUAUAACUGUCAUCGUAACCUUAAGCGUGCGGACCCUACGGGUUCGAGAACAAUGUAGACAUGACCGAGACAUGUCUCUGGUCAAUAACCAAUAGCGGGACCUGGAUGCCCAUAUUGGCUCCUACAUAUUCUACGAAGAUCUUUAUCGGUCAGACCGCAUAACAACAUACGUUGUUCCCUUUGUCAUCGGUAUGUUACUUGCCCGAGAUUCGAUCGUCGGUAUCCAAUACCUAGUUCAAUCUCGUUACCGGCAAGUCUCUUUACUCGUUCCGUAAUACAUCAUCUCACAACUAACAUAUUAGUUGUAAUGCUUGCAAGGCUUUAUGUGAUGUGUAUUACCGAGAGGGCCCAGAGAUACCUCUCCGACAAUCGGAGUGACAAAUCCUAAUCUCGAAAUACGCCAACCCAACAUCAACCAUUGGAGACACCUGUAGUACUCCUUUAUAAUCACCCAGUUACGUUGUGACGUUUGGUAGUACCCAAAGUGUUCCUCCGGUAAACGGGAGUUGCAUAAUCUCAUAGUCAUAGGAACAUGUAUAAGUCAUGAAGAAAGCAAUAGCAACACACUAAACGAUCGGGUGCUAAGCUAAUGGAAUGGGUCAUGUCAAUCAGAUCAUUCUACUAAUGAUGUGACCUCGUUAAUCAAAUAACAACUCAUUGUUCAUGGUUAGGAAACAUAACCAUCUUUGAUUAACGAGCUAGUCAAGUAGAGGCAUACUAGUGACACUCUGUUUGUCUAUGUAUUCACACAUGUAUUAUGUUUCCGGUAAAUACAAUUCUAGCAUGAAUAAUAAACAUUUAUCAUGAUUAUAAGGAAAUAAAUAAUAAAUUUAUUAUUGCCUCUAGGGCAUAUUUCCUUCACCAUCACAUGCGGGCGAUCGUAAGGGACCAUCAUCAACUUCUGCUACCAGAUAAUCUCAAAGAUUGGGCCGCGAACUUGUCGGCAAUCCAGGACGCGGACCUCAGACAAGAAUUCUUUCGCAUCUAGUCGGACUUUGCGGACAUCAUCCAUCAAGAUGUCCUUCAUACGUCGGGGCAGUUCUUCCUCAGAUAUCAACCGUCCAACAAUGAGAUAGAUGGAAUGCUACAAAUGCAGGGUGACAACGACCGCGAUUUCAUGACCAUCACGACAGACGGCGGCUUCAUCCACGCUCCUGUCCGAUGAGUCGAGUCGAAAGUAGUGAUGUGUAGUUCUGAAACAUUGAUUGGCUCAUGUUGUAAUUAAACUUUAAUGAAUUCGUAUGUCUCUUUGGUUUGGACAGUCGUUCAACUUAGAUGUAAUCGAUGCUAUUUAUUAGUAGGACCAUGAAUCGUGCUAUUAAUGUCUUGCUUUUCUCUUCCGAUCCUUUUGUUGCAUACUUACAUAUUGCUUAUGUAUUGUCUGUUGUUUGGCUUGUGCAUAGAGAUGCCGUCGUAUGUCGUGUACAAGGGUAAGGUUCCCGGAGUCUACGAUGAGUGGGAGGAGUGUCGGAGACAGGUUCACCGUUUCAGCGGUAACAGUUACAAAGGGUACACCACUAGGGCGGAGGCCGAAUCUAGAUACACCCGCUAUCUAGCGGGAGAGAGAGGAGGGAGCGUUGGAGGAAGCAGAUGAAGACCAGUUUGAUCGCGAUGAUGCUCAUCGUGGUGACCACAACUCUUUUCUAUGUGAUGGUAGUUUAGAUGAUCGAUAUCGACUUGUAAUGUGAAGACAAACUCGAUACUCGCGGUCUUGAGACUUGUAUUGUUUUAUCUUUGUUCGGUCUUUUGAAUUCGGAGACUAAUAUGAUGAAUUGUAUUCGGAGACUAAUCUUCUAUUGUAUUCGAUGAAUCUGAUGUUGCUGUGUGCUGCUGUCUAUAUUCUGUCCAAUAAUAUAUUUUGUAACCUGUGUAAAAAUCAGAAAAGUAAAAAAAACAAAUAUUCAUACUAAUGGCGCAUCACCACCAGGUGCGCCAUUAGUAUGCCAAAGGAUACUAAUGGCGCAUCAACAUAGCAUGCGCCAUUAGUAUGACAAAGCACAUGCUUAGGUAUGGCCCCCCGGGAGGCACACUAAUGGUGCAUUGUGUUACAUACUAAUGGCGCACUGCUUGGUGCGCCAUUAGUAUACCAGAUACUAAUGGCGCACCAGUGGUGCGCCAUUAGUAAAAUAUACUAGUGGCGUGCUACUAAUGGCGCACUGGUAAUGCACCAUUAGUAGGCAAAACCAGUGCGCCAUUAGUAGGCCUUUUCCUAGUAGUGAGAUAUAACAAUGUACAACUUAACUCAUGAACAUCUUCAAAAGUGGUUAAGAAACUCAGUACCACGAUAUGAAACAUAUGUAGUUGACAUACCACGCAAACGAACAAUUUCACAAAAAGAGUAAAUCAGCAACAUGUGUAGCAUCAUCACUCUUGUGACAAGGUAUAAAACUUGCCAUCUUGGAAAAUCUGUCCACGACGGAAACACUAUUACUCCCUUCUUUGUUUGUGGUAAUCCUAACGCAAAAUAUAUGGAUAUAUCCUCCCAAUGUGCACUAGGAACAAGAAGAGACAUAUAAACAUGAGGAUUAAGUCGUGACUAAGCUUUUUAGAAUGUAGUGCAUCCAACAAUGAACCUCUCAACAUCCCAUCACAUCCUCGGCCAAAAGAAAGUGUUCAACGAGCAUCUCCUUCGUCUUCUUCAUGCCAAAAUGACUCGUCAAACCUCCUCCAUGCACCUCCCAAAACAACAAAAAACGAAUAGAGCUAUCUUGGAUGCAUAUAUCAUUAGCGCGGAACACAAUUACUCCUAUAAAGGAUCUUAGGGUACCCGCCUCCUGGGAGCCUAUCUGGCCAGGGGCCUCUCCGCACCAUCCAUCUGGUGCUAACCUCGCGUGGCUGGCUCCCUAGGGUUCUCCGCGCCGUCUGAUCUUCUCGAACAGCAUGCACCCGGUCGGCUUGCCUCGGGGGUCCAUGACGGGUUGACCACGGGCGCGGCCGGGGGCCACCAUCAUGAGGUGCUUUAGGUCGCGCCAACUCCCCCUACGCGUGACAGGGAGGUCGGGACCGCAUGUCAGCGUCUUAUUUUCGGUCGCAUCCGCGUCUGCCCUCAUGUGCUGUGGCACGCGCGACGAGGAGGCCGGGUCUGCCUCUCAGUGUCGCUCGCCCGAUGUCGGGCUGGUUGGCUCGCGUGAGCCGGGCCUGCGCGAACGCACGGCUCUGUGUGAUGCGUGCCAGGUGGUUGGAGACGACCAUCUGGCUGGGGGUGGCGACGUCGGGCCAACAUGCCUUGAGGGUCAUUUGGCCAGGGGUCACGAUGACAAGAGGCCGGGUGGCCAGCGUUGCGUUUGCUGGAUGAUCCAACCAUGUUCGGCUCUGUUAGUUUGGGCUUCCAGAGCAACUUUGGAUGGAAAAAUAAAAUAAAACGCAAACAAACAACUAUUUUGCAUCUAUUGUGACCUCACAGCUCGAAGUUGUUUGCAGUGUUAAGACUGAAGCACCUUCGAACGUACUUUAGCUGAGAAGCAGGUUGGGAUAAUGUCUGACUUUUAGAGUUAACCUUGUUUCUUCCACCUAACUUCGCAAAGAAAUUGCCAUCCAUCAGGAUCCCAAGACCAGCCGCAUGAAGCUGACCUUAGCAUUUCAGCCUUUUCACCAGCUCACGGCCGCUCGCACAAGGCCAUAAUUACUCUGCCAAACAACUAACCUUCAACAAAAGCAUUGCACCGCAACAAGUCUACAACUGCUUCGGUCGAAGCCGCAUCCCAAACAAACAAACAAGCCUUUCUCGUCUCAAAGCUUUGACCCUGCCAUUUAAGUACAUUAUAACUGAGCACUUUUCCUGUCCUCUCAGACCAUUAGCCUCCGCAACGGCCAGAUAAUCACUUUUAGACAUUUUUGAUCGUCCGAUUAGCUCUGAAUCCGGCUCAGCGAGCAUUAUACGUACUGGGCCGCUGCUCUGAUGGCAAUUUCGGGCGAACGUGGUUAAAUUGGCCCUGAUGGGCUCAUAGCAAUCUCCGUACGUGCAGCUGGGAAAAAAGGCCUCUAUGCCACCCUCUCAGCAAGGUCGCGAGUCUCCGCCUGUGCGGCGCGAUAUGCGACCCCUUUAGCUCGGUCCGAUAACUCACCAGAGGUAACAUCCCUAGCCAAGCCAUACCGCUUCAAGCCAUUACUAUUGAGUAGAGUUGUUUUAGCAUUCGCUCAAACUGUUUAGGCCUCCUUUGGUUUAGAGGAAUCUAGUAAGAAUUUCAUAGGAUAGGAUUUCUAUAGGAAAAAUUCCUUUAGAGCCCUUUGGUUUGUAGGAAUGAGAUCCUAUUCCUGUGGAGGAAUUCUUCCUAUCCUCCACAUUUCAUAGAAAAACAAACAUUAGCCUAGACUCAAUGGAAAAAAUCAUAUGAUGUGAAUCAAAGGGCAUCUACUUUCCUAUUCCUACUCAUAGGAUUUGAGAUACAUGUCAUCUCAUUUCAUAUAACUUUUCUAUUCCUAUGAUUUUCCUAUCCUAUGAACCAAAGGAGGCCUUAGAAAGAAUCAUUUGCACUACAUUCCUUCAGGAUUUUUAGCACACGCUCAAACCUCUAAUACUAUGUUUUUGUUGUGAUGGAAUGAAACAAAACGGAUUCUUGUUAGAUUUAAGCAGACAAAUCCUCCAUUUUUUCGAUUCCUAUACCAUUGAAAUCCUAUGAGUCAAAGAUACUAUCUACCUCUGCGAUCCGCUGGUCGUCAUACGGACGCAGCUCCGGUGCCUUAAAGGCACCUACCUUUGGGUCACUGGCAUGUGGGCCAGCCAUCUGUUGGGCCUACAUGUCAUAGACACAAAGGUAGGUGCCUUAAGGCACCGAAGCAUCGUCCGUCGUCAUACUUGGGACGGACUUUGAACUCCACGCUGUUGAAGACGCUGUUCAUCAGAGUAUCGGCGGAGUUCAUAGCAGCAAAAUAAGCAGCAUGGACGUAGCCAUUGUAGUGCCCAGGUGAAAGUAGGCCCGCCCGCCAACCGGCACCUGCAAGCAGAGUUAGUCAAGGUGGGGCACGUCAGGACCGGCCAUUAAUUCCGUGAUGUACUCCUGCUAGUAGGAGUAUGUCUCACGCAUCGAUCGUCGGUGUGGUUGCGAUCUUGGCCUCAGCCAAUUACCCGGAGCUGGUCUCAUUCCGAGAGGUACGUUGUCGACGCCGGUCAGCACCACCGCAGCAUGUAGAUAUCGGCGGCGGCGUACGGUUGGAAAAUAACACCAGCGACGUUGUCACUAGAGAUACUCUUUUCUUGGGAGGCAGUAGGAAUUUUUAGCAGCAUAAAUUUCCACCGUUUCGAAAUGUGUGUAUGGCGCGUGUUGGAAUGUCCCUAUCUUUUUGAAAUAAAAAUGAGUUAGUACGUCCUUCAUCGCAAAAAUCUUUACCAUAUAUAUAUAUAUAUAUAUAUAUAUAUAAUAAUAAUAACUAUAAUAAAGUGGCUAUCGCUUCUGGUCGUCCGUCAUUGAAAUUACCCUUCAAGGUGGUAAAAAUUACCCACCAAUGCCACCCGUAAGUGGAAAACGAUUCAAGUUUUCGGACUAAAAAUCGCCACCUCAUUCGCUGAUUUAUAGGGGCGCGACGAGUAGAAGUGGCAGAACAACAAGCAGCAGGGUGGUUGGCCGAUCGUUCCUCCACCGAGGAGGGCAGGGUUCGAUCCCCAGCUUGCACAAAUUUAAUCUUUCUUUUCUCAUCCAUGUAUGCGUUCAUGGGCCGGCCCAUGGCUUUACUCCCCUGUUUCUUCUCAUUUUACUUAUUUGUCUUUUCUGUUUUCUUUCUUUUUUAAAUUAAUUCGGGUUUUAAUAUUCUAAAAGCUGCGAGUUUUAAAAAAAAUGUUUGAAAAAUCAUAAAAUAUAUGCGAAUUUAGAAAAUCAUAAAAUUUUUGCAGAUUCAAAAAAUGUUGGUGGUUUUGCAAAACUGUUCGCAAAGUUGUACAAAAAUCACAAUUUGGAAAACUGGUUGGGCAGUAAAAUCAUGUUCAUGAUUUUGAAAAAAUGAUCAUGUAUUCAAAACAUAUUCGGGAAUCCAAAAAACAAUUCCAUGGCUUUACUCCCCUGUUUCUUCUCAUUUUACUUAUUUGUCUUUUCUGUUUUCUUUCUUUUUUAAAUUAAUUCGGGUUUUAAUAUUCUAAAAGCUGCGAGUUUUAAAAAAAAUGUUUGAAAAAUCAUAAAAUAUAUGCGAAUUUAGAAAAUCAUAAAAUUUUUGCAGAUUCAAAAAAUGUUGGUGGUUUUGCAAAACUGUUCGCAAAGUUGUACAAAAAUCACAAUUUGGAAAACUGGUUGGGCAGUAAAAUCAUGUUCAUGAUUUUGAAAAAAUGAUCAUGUAUUCAAAACAUAUUCGGGAAUCCAAAAAACAAUUCCAUGGCAUUUUAGAAAAUGUUCACAAAAAUAAAAAUAAAACAUUUGAUUUUUAAAAAUUUGUUCCCCAAUCUAAAAAUAUCAUCAAUUCAAAAAAUGGUUGUUGAGUCAAAAAAUGUUAAUGAGUUUGAAACCGGUUCAUACAUCUAAAUUUUUUUGUAAUCAAAACUAAUGUUCAUGAUGUUUUUUGAGAAAAUAAAAAAUUUCAAAAAAAAUGUUUGUCGAUUUGGAAAAUUGUUCAUUGAUUUAAAAGUAUUUUAUGUCUAGAAUUCGAUUAGUUUUUGGAAAGUCUUUAUAUAUCUUGGUGUUGAGAGUAGUUCGUGGUAUGAGAUUUAUUUUUAAAGUUUUAAACGUUCCCUUGUGCAACAUAAUGACAGGUGUGGCAUGCACUGGCAAACUCAUAGCUUUGGGAUUUACCGCGUCGAAUGCAUUGUGAUCACGUGCACAUCGCGACCAUCAUCGGCUAGGAUGAGGACAUAAAAUGACAACAUGGUGAGCCACUGUGUUAAAAUAGAGUACACUCAUAUAUCAGGAUAUUAUGUCAUACUCCCUCUGUUCCGAAUUACUUGCCACAGAAAUAGAUGUAUCUAAAACUAAAAAAUUUCUAAAUACAUCCAUUUCUAUGACAAGUAGUUCCGAACGGAGGGAGUACUUAUUUUGUUAGCCAUAAUUUUUUGUCUCCCGUUGCAACGCACGGGCAUAUUUGCUAGUCUUUAUCUUUACCUACUAAUAAAGCACGCAUCGCUUCUGCCCGUCCGUCAUUAAAACUGCCCCUAAAGUUGGCAAUAAUUACCCACCAAUGCCACCCGUAAGUGGUAAAAACGAUUCGUUUUUUAAUUUCUAAUAUCGCUCCAGAGUUCUGUUAUUAAAGGUGGAGACGAUAUAAUAGUACCAAUGCAUGAGCAGCGCGAUGGCUGAGGCAACGAUGCUCCACACAGGAGACUAGGGUUCGAUCCCUGGUUCUCACGCUUUUUCUCUUUCUUUUUACCAAGCGCAGUAAUGGGCCAGCCCAUGUGCGGGUCGUGGCGCCCCCUGUUUUCUAUAUCUUUUUUUAUUUCUAUUUUGUUUUUUCCCUAAAAAUAAAUUUCGGAUUGAUGGCGCCCACUAUUUUUUAUUUCUUUUUACUUUUUUAUUUCUGUUUUGGUUUUUUAUCUCAAAAUUAAUUUCGGAUUUCCAAAAUAUCAAACAAUUGCGAGUUCUGAAAAAAAGUAGGAAAAUGGUAAACUGUUUGUGAAUUUAAAAAAUAUUCUAAAAAUCAAAAAAUGUUCAUGACUUAAAAAAUUGCUCACAAAUUAUAAACAAAUCACGAUUUCUAAUGAUUUCAUGAAAUAAAAAAUGUUCAUGAUUUUUUUAAAUGAGCCAAUAUUCAAAGCAUAUUCAGGAAUUUAAAAAUCAUGUCCAUCAGCUUUUAGAAAAUGUUCACAAAAAUUAAAACACAUCCGUAAAUAAUGAACAAAACUAAUUGUAGGUUCCAUAAAGGUUUUAUUAGGAGAUCUAUAUAGCUCGUUUUAUGAUUUUAUUUAGUCCUUCGCGUUGGGUAAAAAAGGGUUUCCGUGUUUUGUACAACGCUGAACCCAACAAAAUUGACAUAAGUUUCUAAGGGUUUGUUUUUGUAAGCUAUAUUAAAAUGACUAAAUGUUUAUUUUGCUUCCAUACACAGUUAUGCUUAUUUUCAUAUCACAAUAGUGGUUAUGGUAAACACCGCUACGCUAAGUCCGGACGAGACACUUUAUUUAUCAGUAUAGCUCAGGCAGGGUCCGUCAAUGCAGUUUGCUCAGCCACAAAAUAUUUUGUUGUGACGCCUUAAAAAAUCAAGUCUUGAUGAGCAUCAUAUUGUUCUUUUUUGAAAUUACAUUUUAAAAGUGUCUUAUCGCAUCAUGACAUGAUUUGUAUAUACUUUGUGAAUUUGAUUCAUACUUUUUUAUAUCUACCACACAUGUAUAACUUGAUAGUUUUUUUCCGUUGCAAGGCACGGGCAUUUCCAAAAAUGUUCGCUAAAUCAAAAAAAGUUCGUCAAAUUCAAUAACUAUUCCACCCAAUUUCUAAAUAUUUUCAUCGAUUAUAGAAUGUUUGCCAGUUCAGGAAAAUUGCUUAAAAAUGUUCACAAUUUCUAAAAAAUGUUUGUAAAUAGAAAAAAAUAUUCAUAAAUUGAAAAAAUGUUCUUGAUUGUAGAAAAUGUUCAGAAAUUUGUAAUAGUAUGUUGUUUGCGAUUUCAAAUAUGUGCAUGAGUUUAACAAAUUGUUCAUAAUUUCAAAAUGUUCAUGAUUUCGAGAAAUUGAGAGAGAUAUUGUAUCUCGGUGAUGCAACGAAAUGUGAUCAUGACCAUUUGAAAUUAUGAAUUUUUUUUCUCCCGUUGCAACGCACGGGCCCUUUUGCUAGUAAUAAUAAAGAAAAUUGGAUUUCUGUCGUCCGUCAUAUAAAUUGCCUCUGAAGUUGUCCCAAUUUACCCACCUUGCCACCGGUAAGUAAAGAAAACGAUUCGUUUAAAAAAAAAUCACCGUCCAAUUUAGUUGUUAUAGGAUAGUCAACACAAUUAUAGAACACUUGCCGGAAGCCAGCGCAGUGGCUAAAGCCAAAGCUGCCCGCACGGGAGACCAGGGUUCGAUCCCUGGUCGUGGAUACCCUUUUUCUCCCCUUUUCUGCAAUAUAUAUAGCAGGCCGUAAUGGGCCGGCCCGUAGUGACGCCCCUGUUUUUCUUUUGCUUUUACCCUUUCUCACUUUUUUUUCCUGUUUUUCUUUCUUUAAAUUACUCUGGGAUUUUCAGAAAAAAAAUCACCCUGGUCGUGCAUACCCUUUUUCUCCCCUUUUCUGCAAUAUAUAUAGCAGGCCGUAAUGGGCCGGCCCGUAGUGACGCCCCUGUUUUUCUUUUGCUUUUUCCCUUUCUCAUUUUUUUCCUGUUUUUCUUUCUUUAAAUUACUCUGGGAUUUUCAGAAAAAAAUCAAAAAAGUUGUGAGUACUGAGAAAAUAUAUAGAUACAUCAUAAAAUGUUUGUGAAUUCAAAAAACAUUUGAGAAAUCAUAAAAAAAUCGUGAUUUAAAAACAAAACUGUUCGCAUAUUUUAAAAAAUCGUGAUUUAAAAAACAAUAAAAUAAAAAUUCAUGAUUUAUAAAAUAUGAUCAUGUAUUCAAAACAUAUUUGGGAAUUUGAAAACAAUGUCCAUGAAAUUUUAGAAAAUGUUCACAAAAAUUAAAACUGAUUCUUAAGUAACGGAAAAAACAAACCAUUGCUUAGGCAGAGGUUUUAUUAGGGGAUCAUAAAAUGUUCAUGAUUAAAAAAAUUAUUUGCAUAUUAUAAAAAAAUCAUGAUUUAAAAAACAAUGAAAUAAAAAAUGUUCAUGAUUUCUAAAAAUAUAAUCGUGUAUUCAACACAUAUUUGGGAAUUUUAAAACAAUGUCCCGAGCCCAAAAAAGUUGACACAUCUUGCUAUGGGUUACUUUUUGUAAACUAUAUGAAAAUGACAAAAUGUCUGUUUUGCCUCCGUACACAACUAUUCUCGUACCAAAGUUCUACUGGUUCUGGAAAACAUCGCUACGCUAGGUCAAUGUGAGAAACAUCAUGCAUUAGUCUAACUAAGGCAGGGAUCCAACAAUGUAGUUUGCUCAACCAAAAAAUUAUUUCGUUGUGGCACCUUAGGAAAUUAAGUCGUGAUGAGACCAUCACAUUUUCAUCAUAACAUCACUUGGACAUAGUUUGUGAAAUGACAUAUUGAAAAUCCUUAUCUCAUCCUGGCAUUUGAUUUAGAUCUUUUUAUCUCUAUUAUAUCUAUAUAAUCUGAUUGUUUUUCUCCCGGUGCAACGCACGGGCAUAUUUGCUAUAAAAAUAAAAAUGAGCACGUCCUAAUUGGAAUAGCUCAGUUUUCCCUUUUGCGACUGUACUUCUGCAUGAUUAAUUAAGUCCGGUGUUCAUCGUUAUUGGCGCCGAGCAACAUUCCGUACAGUCGCGUAUUGUUAUUGCCACCUGCCACGUUCCAUAGUAAUCUCUCUUCUUUUCUGCAAGGGGACCAUAGUAACCUCCCUUGCUGGGGCUUGAACUGUUAGAUCGCUUUGGAGGACACCCACAAGCCUGUGGACACGAUCACGUAGUCCGCGCUGUACGCUGAGUUGUCCUCUGUCCUCACCCUGACCCGGUGACCCCUCGCUCUCUCCUUGUAGGAUGUCUACCGUACCAUCUGCAAUUUAGCACAUGCAUGAACGCCCCUCCAAAUUGCUAGAUGUAAGACGUUUCAUAACAAAUCCAAUGGUACUCCCUCCGCUCCAUAUUAAUUCUCGCAGAUUUUAGUACAACUUUAUAAUAUGAAUCGGAGGGAGUAUUAUUUUUAUCUUAUCUUGUCGGUGGUUUAAUUCAUUGUAGUAUAGAAUUCCAUUCUGUAUUAUUUUUACCGAAAAAGGCUUUUGCCCCGCUUUAUAAAUAAAGCAAACCGCCACAAGACAUACAACCACAGAAGGUUCACAAACACACACCACCCAAGUACCACGACAAAGUAUAGAGGUUCUGCUGAGGGCACAACUCAACAAGCCCAGAGAAAAAGAAAAAACACAACACCACAUAGACGGCCCAGCGCAGGUGAUCUAGUUAGGCUCCGGCGGUGGCGGCGGGGGCGGUGGCGACAGACGGACGGCCAUCGAGCGUAGAUCGGCGAUGAAGGCUGAGAUGGCGUCCCGAUCCGGGGGGCGGCUAAGCGGCCGCCAAAGCUGCAAGAAAUCCGAGAAUUUGUAGAGAGCAUCAGUAGCGCGCCGAAGGGGAGAGUGUUGGAUCACAAGCUUAUUGCGAACUGUCCACAACGUCCAGGCAAGGACCCCCACCUCCAGCCACCUAAUGUGGCGAGAGGAUGUAGGGGACACUUGGAGUUCAGCAAAGAGGUCCGGGAAAUUGGUGUGGCACCAACUCCCACCAACAAUCUCGCGAAAGCAGCUCCAAAGAAACCGGGCGGAGACGCAAGCGAAGAAAAUGUGAUUGGAGUCUUCGGGGACAUUGCAGAGGGGGCAGAUACCAGUGCCCGGGCCAUUGCGUUUGCGGACCUCCACACCGGACGGGACCCGUCCACGGAUCCAUUGCCACAUGAAGAUGCGAAUCUUCAGUGGGACGCGAAUGGACCACACCAAAUGUAUUAUUUUUUAUCUUAUUUAUACUUGUCUGAGGUUAAAGUUUUUUUUCUCUGGUGUUAGCAGCUAAAAGUUAGAAAAGUUUGGUUAAUAGUUUAUCUUUACGUCCUCGAUGUAUGAUUGUACGUUCUGACUUGUGAGUUAAUGAUUUGGUCCCUGUUUUCAGUAUCGUACUCAGUCAUUAGGCCAUCUAUGUAGCCCUGCGUGCGUGUCAUCUACACAUGGUUUGCACACCCCACGUUACUGUUAGGUAACUUUUUUUAGUCCAGUAUUACAACCGAAGAUGUUCACAUAUACUCACUCCUAUAAACGCCCCUACAUAUAUCCUACUCCUAUGAGCAUUUUUGAUAUACUGAGCCAGCAAUUCCUUUUGAGAUUGAAGUCAUUGCAUGCCUCUCUUAGAGUAUUUCUAGCAGACCCCGUAAAAAUUGGAUCCGGACAACUCGUUUACAGUUCGCUGCAGAUCAGAUUUGCGGGGCGAAUUCGUGCGCUGCAAAUCAGACCCCGUAUAUAAAACUGUAAAAUUUGAAAAAAAAAAUCCCGGGAGAAACUUGCAUCGACAUUCAUCAUACAUGGUUGAUCAUCAUACUACAUCAUAGAUAGUUGUUCAUCAUACUACAUGGGAGGGGNNNNNNNNNNNNNNNNNNNNNNNNNNNNNNNNNNNNNNNNNNNNNNNNNNNNNNNNNNNNNNNNNNNNNNNNNNNNNNNNNNNNNNNNNNNNNNNNNNNNNNNNNNNNNNNNNNNNNNNNNNNNNNNNNNNNNNNNNNNNNNNNNNNNNNNNNNNNNNNNNNNNNNNNNNNNNNNNNNNNNNNNNNNAGUGUACCCAAGCCUAGGCUACCAAAAUCGACGGGUGCGGCGGUGACGACGACGUGGUAGAGGAGUCGGAGGAGCUCAGUCCUUGUCAAAGUCGAGGGGCGAUCCAGACCUUGGCUUGCUCAGCCGUCAUGACGCGCAUGUCCGCCUCCUUGGACGCGUGCGUCUGUGACGCCGCGACUCGAGGAAGAUCUCCUCGAUCUCGAGCUCGCGGCGGCGACGCACGUCGGCCUCCUCGUCCUCCCUCGCCGAGCGCUCCAUGAUGGCGCGCUUGAGGUGGUCUUCUUGCCCCGUGAGGAGGUAGUCUUUGGGGCCGAUGACGCCUCGAUGCGGCGGGUCCGCCUCGGCCUCGAGCUUGAUGGCGAGCGGCCCGAGCUCCUUCGGCUCUCUCUUGACCGGAGCGAGCUGCGAGCUCGAGGCGCCUGCGGAUGAGCUCCCCACGGUAGAGGAGCCGGAGGAGGCGUGAUGGCAGACCGUGAGCUCGCGCUCAUACUCAUCGAGCUCGCGGUGUUCGAAUUUGAACACUAAUGUCACGUCUAGAAUUUGAACCACAGUGUGGGCUGGUUCCACCAUAAAGAGUUGUUAGCUAACUUAUUAGGUGGUGCCCAUCACUGAAAACUCAUCAUUUUAUCACAUGCGUUAACCAGAGCUCCUGCAUGCAUGCAUGUACUCAGUUAUAUAUACUCUUCCCUAGCCAAAAUUCUUGUCUUAAAUUUGUCUACAUAUGAAUGUAUCUAUUCAUAUUUUAAUGUUAGAUAUAUCCGUAUCUAGAUAAAUAUAAGAUAAGAAUUUUGGGAUGGAGGGAGUAUUUGUCUUGGUCGUCUCGUUCUCGUUGUGCAUUACGCACGCACGUACGUGCUUCCAAGUAAAAAAAAUGAACUUUCGCAUCGCUCUAAGCUUAGAGUCUGUCUCCGAUAAAUAGGAAUAUAGUAAUAUUUUAACAUGUGAAUACAUAUAAAUGGAAAAUUUUACAAGCAAAAGCAAAACAGAUCAAUCAGCGACAUAUCAGUUCUUUCACACAAAAAAAGAUAAAAAAUAAUAAAAUAGAGACAGCGGCGAGCCCAGAGAUUGCAUACCAACAGUGCGAGCAAAACGAUCAGGUUACAGGCAAGCUAUAUGAAAUGAAACCUACCUGGGUUGCCUCUCGAUACAUUGGUAAUGCUCUCAUAUAACCACAUGAGACUGCCUUAUGAUGGAUGGGGGUUAGAUCGAGGCAAGCUAUGUGAAACCUAACUGGAUUCCCUAUCGCACGUUCGAGACAGCGGCGAGUCCAGUUUUUUCCUUUUGUAGUUGUAUACGAUAGGGAAUAGUACGUAUUCAAUGAUGCUUAGAGUAUAGCCCGAAUGGUGGCUGAGCGAUGGGUGUCGUGGGAACAGAUCUGACAGUAGAGUAUAGGGAUAUGUAUAAGAGAGCAAAGUCUAGCUACAAUGUGGUUGUACACUCGGAUUUACGAGUUCAGGUCUCUUUCGAAAGAGAUAAAGACUCUAUGUCUAGGUGUUGCGGGAGCCUGUUUAUCUGAAGUGUUGUGGUACAAGAGGUGUGAACCCUUGUGCAGGGAUGGAGGGGCGGCUUAUAUAGAGUCCGCUGGCCCCUCAUUAAUGCCCCGUCACUCAAAGGUUCAAUGAAAAAGUUAAAAGGUGUGGGCGUUACAUGUAACGCCAGCAUUUCAUGUUCUUUACGGUGGCGAACCGAUCUUCUGUCGCCGAGUGACGCUUGAUACUCUAAAUGGGUAGAGAAGGUCGAGUGAUCGUGAGGCUUUCGGGUGGAUCCUGCGUCCGAGUGACUUGUAGGCUGUAGGCAUUUCAGUCGGUGACUCCUUCCUAGCUUUCUGGUGGUGGUGAGUUCACUCUCCCACUCCAUCCCAAUCUCGCUCACCCAUCACAUCCCUCCAAUUUGAAACCUUUUUUUAUUGCAAUGGUGCUCCCGUCGUUGCUGUAAUUACACAAGUGUAGUGUUGGCUGCUUGAUUGAGUUCCUUUGUGCGAUGUUGCACAUGCAUUGGUUGAUGUAUGCUAAUAAUGCAAUACAACUAAAUCAUUUUUGUGGUUCCGUAGCAACGCACGGACAUUAUGCUAGUAAUACCGUUAAAGAGUAUUGUCAAUAUUAGACCAUUCUGCGCAAGGACGGACUUCAGACCUCAGAGGCCAAGUGCUUUUAUUCAAUUAAUUUGUACAAAUUACAUCGCCGGAACGCUUCAACAGGAACUACAUACUGCAGGAGUAUUCAAACACACGGGAGGCAUGACGGAAAGCAGGAACGUCACAUUAUUUCGUCUCAAAUCAAAGUCUUGGGUAAAAGCUUGCACGGAAACUGUGGCACGCGUCUGGGUUUAUUCCUCGACGAUGCGAGCAGAGUGGCAUGGCAACUCAACUUCCUCGUUCAUGAUCUAUGCCAACUCAACAAACACCUUUAGAGAUACUUGUACAUCAUCUUUAUGAUGACUCAGUUAUGUUAUGACGUUUGAUAGCACACAAGGUAUUCCUCCGGUAUCCGGGAGUUGCAUAAUCUCAUAGUCGAAGGAAUAUGUAUUUGACAAUAAGAAAGCAAUAGCAAUAAACUGAAUGAUCAUAUGCUAAGCUAACGGAUGGGUCUUUUUCAUCAUAUCAUUCUCCUAAUGAUCCCGUUAUCAAAUGACAACACAUGUAUAUGGUUAGGAACAUUAACCAUCUUUGAUCAACGAGCUAGUCUAGUAGAGGCUUACUAGGGACAAGGUAUUUGUUUGUGUAUCCACUCAUGUAUUUAAGUUUUCAAUCAAUACAAUUCUAGCAUGAAUAAUAAACCUUUAUCAUGAAUAAGGAAAUAUAACAACUUUAUUAUUGCCUAUAGGGCAUAUUUCUUCAGUUUCCCAUUUGCACUAGAGUCAAUAAUCUAGAUUACAUUGUAAUGAAUCUAAACCCAUGAAGUCUUGGUGUUGAUCAUGUUUUGCUCACGAAAGAGGCUUAGUCAACGGGUCUGCUACAUUCAUAUCCGUAUGUAUUUUGCAAAUCUCUAUGUAUCCAUCGUUGAUCUUUUCAUUGAUGGAGUUGAAGCAUCCCUUGAUGUGUUUGGUUCUCUUGUGAAACCUGGAUUCUUUCGCCAAGACAAUUGCUCCAGUGUUGUCACAAAAGAUUUUCGUUGGACCCGAUGCACUAGGUAUUACACCCAGAUCGGAUAUGAAUUUCUUCAUCCAGACUCCUUCAUGUGCUGCUUCCAAAGCAACUAUGUAUUUCGCUUCACACUUAGAUCCCGCCAUGACGCUCUGCUUGGAACUGCACCAACUGACAGCUCCACCAUUCAAUAUAAAUACGUAUCCGGUUUGUGACUUGAAGUCAUCUGGAUCAGUGUCGAAGCUAGCAUCAACGUAACCAUUUAAGACGAGCUCUUCCUCACCUUCAUAAACGAGAAACAUAUCCAUGGUCCUUUUCAGGUACUUUAGGAUGUUCUUGACCGCUGUCCAGUGAUCCACUCCUAGAUUACUUUGCUACCCCCGUGCCAAACUUAUGGCAAGACACACAUCAGGUCUAGUACACAACAUAGCAUACAUGACAGAACCUAUGGCUGAGGCAUAGAGAAUGACUUUCAUUUUCUUUUUAUCUUCUGCAGUGGUUGGGUUUUGAGCCUGACUCAAUUUCACACCUUGUAAUAUUGGCAAGAAGCCUUUCUUUGACUGAUCCAUUUUGAACUUCUUCAAAACUUUGUCAAUGUAUGUGCUUUGUGAAAGUUUUAUUAAGGGUCUUCAUCUAUCCCUAUAGAUCUUGAUGCCCAAUAUAUAAACAGCUUCUCCAAGGUCUUUCAUUGAAAAAUUCUUAUUUAAGUAUCCUUUUAUGCUAUCCAGAAAUUCUAUAUCAUUUCCAAUCAACAAUAUGUCAUCCACAUAUAAUAUUAGAAAUGCUACAGAGCUCCCACUCACUUUCUUAUAAAUACAGGCUUCACCGUAAGUCUGUAUAAAACCAUAUACUUUGAUCACCUCAUCAAAGCAUACAUUCCAACUCUGAGAUGUUUGUACCAAUCCAUAGAUGGAUCUUUGGAGCUUGCACACUUUGUUGGCACCUUUAGGAUCGACAAAACCUUCUGGUUGCAUCAUAUACAACUCUUCUUUACGAAAUCUAUUAAGGAAUGCAGCUUUGACAUCCAUUUUCUAGAUUUCAUAAUUAUAAAAUGCGGCAAUUGCUAACUGAUUCGGACAGACUUAAGCAUCGCUACGGGUAAGAAAGUCUCAUCGUAAUCAACCACUUGAACUUGUCGAAAACCUUUUGCGACAAGUCGAGCUUUGUAGAUAGUAAUAUUACCAUCAGUGUCAGUCUUCUUCUUGAAGAUCCAUUUAUUCUCAAUGGCUUGUCGAUCACCGGGCAAGUCCACCAAAGUCCAUACUUUGUUCUUAUACAUGGAUCCUAUCUCAGAUUUCAUGGCCUCAAGCCAUUUAUCAGAAUCUGGACUCAUCAUAGCUUCUUCAUAGUUCGUAGAUUCGCCAUGGUCUAAUAACAUAAGUUCCAGGACAUGAUUACCAUACUACCCUGGUGCGGAACACGCUCUAGUCGACCUACGAGGUCCAGUAGUAACUUGAUCUGAAGUUUCAUGAUCAUCAUCAUUAGCAUCCUCUUCAGUUGGUGUAGGCAUCACGAGAAUGGUUUUCUGUGAUGUGCUACUUUCCAAUUCGAGAGAAAGUACAAUUACCUUAUCAAGUUCUACUUUCCUCCCACUCACUUCUUUCGAGAGAAACUCCUUCUCUAGAAAGGAUUCAUUCUUGGAAACAAAGAUCUUGAUCUGUGGGUAGAAGGUGUAUCCAGUUAUUUCCUUAGGGUAUCCUAUGAAGACACACUUUUCCGAUUUGGGUUCGAGCUUAUCAGGCUGUAGCCUUUUCACAUAAGUGUCGCAUCACCAAACUUUAAGAAAUGACAGCUUAGGUUUCUUGCAAAACCAUAGUUCAUACAGUGUCGUCUCAACAGAUUUAGACGGCACCCUAUUUCACGUGAAUGCGGCUAUCUCUGAUGCAUAACCCCAAAAUGAUAGUGGUAAAUCGGUAAGAGACAUCAUAGAACGCACCAUAUCCAAUAAGGUACGGUUACGACGUUCCGACACACUAUUACGCUCUGGUGUUCCUGGUGGCGUGAGUUGUGAAACAAUUCCACAUUGUUUUAAAUGAAGGUCAAACUCGUAACUCAAAUAUUCACCUCCGCGAUCAGAUCGUAGAAACUUUAUUUUCUUAUUACGAUGAUUCUCCACUUCAUUUUGAAAUUCUUUGAACUUUUAAAAUGUUUUAGACUUAUGUUUCAUCAAGUAGAUAUAUCCAUACCUACUCAAAUCAUAUGUGAAGGUUAGAAAAUAACUAUACCCACCGUGUGCCUCAACACUCAUCGGACCACAUACAUCGGUAUGUAUUAUUUCCAAUAAGUCAUUAGGUCGCUCCAUUGUUUCGGAGAACAGAGUUUUAGUCAUCUUGCCCAUGAGGCAUGGUUCGCAAGUAUCAAAUGAUUCAUAAUCAAUUAAUUCCAAAAGUCCAUUCAUAUGGAGUUUGUUCAUGCGCCUUACACCAAUAUGACCUAAACAGUAGUACCACAAGUAUGUUGCAUUAUUAAUAUUAACUUUGUAUCUUUUGGCAUCAAUAUUAUGAAUAUGUGUAUUACUACGAUCGGGAUUCAACAAGAAUAGGCCAUUCAUCAAGGGUGCAUGACCAUAAAAGAUAUUACUCAUAAAAAUAGUGAAAUGAUCUAGAUGACGACUAGAGGGGGGGUGAAUAAGAGUUUUAAAACUUUUACGGAUUUGGCUGUAUCCUAAUGCGGAAUUAAACUAAUGGAUACUUUUCAAGCACAAAUCCUAAAUAUGCUAGGCUCAACUAAGUGCACCAACAACCUAUGCUAAAUAAGAUAGGCAAUUAAGCAAACUAGCAAGCACAAACUAUAUCACAAGAUAUGGAAAUGAAGGAACAACAAAGCAAUUCAACUAUCACAAGAUAUAUCAAUAUGGGCAAGUAUGAAUUGCGGAAAGUAAAGGGUGUGGGCAUGAGAUAACCACAAGUGAGUCGGGGACGCGGAUUUAUCCCGAAGUUCACACUCGUGAGAGUGCUAAUCUCCGUUAGAGGGGUGCCGAAGCCAAAGCUCCGGGGCGUCACCAAGUGACUCACCAUAUUCUCCCUUUCGAGUCACCCCCAACGGAUGAGCCUUGGUUCACUCGGGGUUGGUCUUGAAGGCGACCACCACACCUUUACAAACCUAUCCGGAGCACACCACAACCACGGAAGCUUCCGGAGAAACUUGACCACCUAGGCCACUUGAACACCCUUCCUCGGAGCACACCACAAAAGGAAGCUUCUGGGGAAACCUUGGCCACAUAGGCCUCUUCACAAUCUUCUCAAUAUAUCACCAAACCGUCUAGGAGGCGAAGCCUCCAAGAGUAAUAAACUCACGGGCUCUCACACGAACAAAUCGAUGCGGGGAGCUCAAACCAAUGCAACAAAUGCAAUGCAAGGUCAAGCAACAAAUGCUCAACUCACUCUCUCAAUCUCACAAGAUGCAACUCAAGAAAGUGGGAGAUUGAAGAGAGGGGAUGCAAUGGAGGAAAUCAACAAAUGACUCCAAGAUCCAUCCACAAAUCCCCCUUCACUUAGAAGCAAGAUAGGGGUUUGGGAGACGUGAUAAGAGGCUCAAAAUGAUGUUUAGAAUGUGAAUGAACAACCCCCAAACCGGUGGGGAGGAAGGGCUCUUUUAUAGCUAACUUCCAAAACUAGCCGUUGGGGCUCCAACGGACACUUCCUGGACACCCCGUGCCCACGGGGGUUUAGACCCCGUGCGCACGGUACAAGCCCGUGUGCACGGGCCCCCGUGCCCACGGGGGUCAAAAACCCCGUGUCCACGGGGUACCCAGAACAGCCUGCAACAGCCCAUUAAAACAGUGAUAACUUUGGCAUACGGACUCCGAAUUCGAUGAUCUUGGGCUCGUUUUGAAGCUAUGGAAAAGUCCAAGGUCCUCACAUAGAGAACCACCCAAGAUCAACAAUAAAUAAUGAUGCAAGUAAUGCAAAGGUUUGAGCUCUCUACAUGCGACAUGAUCAAGCUACUUGCCCGAGAGUCCCUCUUGAUAGUACGGCUAUCAAACCUAUAAUCCGGUCUCCCUCCAAGCACCAUGAGACCGGCAAAACUAGGAAAACCUAGCUAAGGUAUACCUUUGCCUUGCAUAUUCAACUUGAGCUUGGUUAUGACUCCAAUGCUUGUCUCAAGUUGGAAUCCCUUUCUUGUCCACAACCACUUGGUGAAGAUGCUUGAAUUGAUUCCUCAUAUUGCAAUGAGGGAAGCCUUAACUUAAGCCCAUCUUCACAUGAGCAUUAUCAUGAUGUGGACCGCAAGCUUCAAAGCAUAUAACCUCCGGCUUCUCAUCUUGCACUUGGACUCCUCGAACCCGAUGAAACCAUCACCACUUGAUGUCAUCCACACAUAGGCUACUUGAGAUCUUUCCUUUUGAUGCAAGCCCAUGAGAAACACCUAACCCACAUAGACAUACCAAACACAUAGCAUGGGUUAGGUAACAAAGCACAAUUCACAAUUACUUACCAUACCACUAAUCACUUGAUCUCACGUGGUAUAAUGUUUGUGCUUUGAGAGUUGACCACUUAGAUAUAAUCUUCGAGCUUCAUCUUGGUCAACCAACAUCUUUACUCGAAGCUCCAUCUUGGUUUCUUGAAAGCCACAAUGAACUCUUCAUUUCCCUUCAUUGCUUCAAGACUAUAUCACCAAAGACUCUUCCAUGACCAUAUCAAGUUCCACUAUGAAUAUCAUCUUGGUCACCACUUGCCCUUCUAAAACUCCAUCACAAUCUCUUGAGAGGCAUAAUGAAUUCGUCACUCUAGUUGCUUGCAUCAAGACUUGAUCAACCGAAACCCAACACAUGAGCUCACCAUGAUCUUGUCUUGAGACCAUAAGUUGAAUUCUUCUCUUUGAUUAUUCUCUCAAGCCUUGAUCAUCAGAAGCCCAAAUAUAUCAAUCUUUGAGAUCCUCCAAUGCACUCCAUCAUGAACAUAAUUAGAUUAGGCAUUGAAACCAAUCUUGAUGGCUUCAAUAGAAGUACCCGAAGACCAACUUGAAACCUCACUGGAUAUGGGAUCUCGAGAGCCAACACCUAGGCCCCGUGAGCAUGGGGUAUCCAGAGAGUUGACACCCGACCCCGUGCGCACGGUACAAGCCCGUGUGCACGGGGUAUCCAGAGAAGGAUACGAUGAGGACUUCUUCGGAUGCUUUGAUGGCAGACUUCACAAAACAACCCAAUGCACUUCAAGCAUCACUAUGGAACAUAUCCUCAUAUAAGAUUCAAUGCACUUGAUGCUCCAUAGGAAUUGUCAUUUAAUACCAAAGCAUAGAGCAAAUAUAUCUUCAUAUAUAUGGACUUCAUCCUUGAUUCCGUCCAAUAUCCUUGAGGCACUAUCUUCAUAUAUAUAUGGACUUCAUCCUUGAUUCCGUCCAAUAUCCUUGAGGCACUAUCUUCAUAUAUAUGGACUUCAUCCUUGAUUCCGUCCAAUAUCCUUGAGGCACUAUCUAUGGACAAAACCUUCAAAUAUAUCUCACUGAAAACAUUAGUCCAUAGAGAUUGUCAUUUAAUUACCAAAACCACACUUAGGGGCUACAUGCCCUUUCAAUCUCCCCCAUUUUGGUAAUUGAUGACAAUCUCAACAAGAGGGUUUAUAUAAUGAAUUUAAAACAAGUAUGCAAUCUAUCCGAGAAUAAAUUGUAUACUUGAGGUGGUUUUGAUAGCUUCAAACAUCACAAAGAUAGUUGAUGUUAUCAAAACCAGUUGUACUAGCAUCGAAAUACUACACAAGAAUUUGAUGCUAGUAGAACCACAAUAUAUAGAGCAAACUCCCCCACAAUAUAUGCAUAGGAAAUAACUUGGUGGAGUUUCCUCUAUAUACACACCCAUGCAAUGAGCAAGCACCACAAAAGUAGAUAAGCAUGAAUGACAGGAACCAACCCACUUCACCUAAACCCUCUAAACUUCUCCCCCAUUGGCAACAAGUGCCAAAAUGGAAGAAAAAUCUAGACGGCCAAUAUAGUAUGAGUUCCUCCUUAAUUUGUGCAUUUCUCAUAUUAUGAGUGGAAUCAAAUGCACAUAUCCAGUUAUGAACAAACGAAGAAAUUCACACUAUAUUGAGCAUCCAUAGAAUGCACCAAAAUGAUAUGACAAAAGAAUCAAACAUUCAAAGGAUCCAAAGAACAUAUUUUGGACAAGGGAUAAUGGAGAUAUCCAAUAUGAUAAUCAUGCUAAGCAUGGGUCCAAAAUAUAUCCAACAACUCAUGAGUGCAAACAUAUAUGCAAAACAUACAAGCACUCACUCAACAAGUACUAAUCAUGCCAUGAUGCAACACACACAAUGUUGACUCUAACUUGAAUAAAUGCAUGAAGUAAGUAGUUGUUACCAAGAGAGAAAGCAUUGGUUCAAGAGGCCCUUGAUCUAGUACGCGAACAUGAGGGACUUGAUCUUGUUCUUGGAUAGGUAUAUGAUCUCCCACAACAUCUUGCUCUUGUGUUGGGGGUGAUGACUUUCCUUAUGGUCGAUCCACAAGAGGGGCUCUUACUCCUUCUUCUUCUACAUGGACGAGGGGUGUUUCUUGUGGAAGAAUAUGACCAAUCCCCAUUGUACUUGUAGCUUGGGAAGGAGCCUCAUCACCUACAACACUUGAAACAAAUUGCUCCUCAUGGAAGCCGUUAUUCUCAUCACACUCCACAUUCACCAUUUCCUCAACACAUCCCGUGGAUUUAUUGAGAAUAUAGUAAGUGUGGGAGUUUGAUGCAUAUCUAACAAAAAGACCCAAAUUUUGUAUAACCGGGUUUACAUGGUGAGAAUGAAACACUUACAACCGAACCGGGUUUUCAUUUAUCUUCUCUCUCAAAUCAAUGAAUCAACCAAGCUUGGCUCUAAUAAUUUUCCAUGGUGUCUCCACCUUCCCCAUGAAUAAGCCAAUCAUCCAAUGCUUCUCCAAUGUACCUAAAACACAUUAAGGUACAAUUUGGUCCCCAGACUUAUUGGGUCCGAAGUAGUUAGUCCAAACAUAAUACAUAGGGCAAACUCCAUAUUAAAUAUGUGCAAAAGGAUAUGAACUUGAAGUUCAAGCACACUUUUAAUCAGUAAUGAUUUGAUGGAGUUUACCCUAUAGAGAGGGUCAAGUAGAGCAAUCAAGGCAUGAAAAAAGUAUAUAAAUAAAUAUGCAUGCACAUGCCUACCAAGAUCCAAAGAGAUACAAUUUGGACAAGAGAACACUUAAACAAAGAAUACUCGAAAAAUAACAUAAAGCAUUCAAGUUGUCCAAAUUAUAUCAAAGAGACGAAUCCACACAGGACCGCAAGAAAAGUACAACAUAUGAACUAAGCAAAAACCAAAGAGCAUAUAGGAUAUACAUUACACACAUGCUCAAAGGCUUAUCUCACUCAAGUAGAUAAUAGAUAGUACAAGGAGUGAGAUAAGGCAAGUUGAAGCACAAGUCGAGAAGAAGAUGAUCAUAAAAUUCUACCACAAGAAGAAAUACCAAUUGGUAUUUGGAAUUAACACUCGGUGGUAGAAUCCGAAGAAGCACAAGAUCAUAAUCAACAACCACCCUGUGCGCACGGGGGUCAAAAGACCCCGUGCACACGGGGUAUCCAGGGAGUUACACAGUACCCCGUGCGCACGGGGGUCAAAAGACCCCGUGCGCACGGGGUACCCAGAGAGUUACGCAACACCCCAUGCGCACGGGGGUCAAAAGACCCCGUGCGCACGGGGUAUCCAGAACUUUUCUGGUGCAACUUUCUGGAUACCACGACAGGCAUACAACAGAGGCAAAUAACCACCUAAAAGAGAUAACUAAUGGAUACUCUGAGAAUGUGAAUUUCAAAUGAGCUUGACAUACCACAUAGUGACUAGAUAAUAUUGAGUAUCAAUACUAUGUGGUAUUUCUCAUAUUCACAUUUUGGGUUUGUGAUGUGCACAAAACAUAGCACUCCCCCAUAAUGUGAUGAUCCACUAAUAUCUCGCAAGAGCCAAACAAGAUACAAUAAAGGCUCAAAACAACAAGCACCACUAUAUGAUGUGCAAUGCAACCUACACAUGCUAGAUCACACAAAUCAAGCAUACUAGAAAAUACAACAUAUAAAUGCACAUGAUAGAUACAAAACCUAAGCAUGCAAGGGGCGAGAACUUUCAAUGUAAGCAAUAAAAAUACAAGUUACCGCAAGGAGGAACAUUGGAUAGAUAAUAUGAAGAUAAACCACAUGACUUGGCUCGAACAAAUAAAUGAUGAAUAUUCUUUUCUUCAUGGACUAGCCAAAUCUCCAAUGUCCUCCACACACCUAUUGAUCAAGUUUGAGCUUGAUGGUCCCCAACCAAGUUGGGUCCUAAGAAGUUAGUCACAAUAGGCUUGUCAACCCAAAUGGUCUUUUCCAUUUCCAAACCACUUUGGGCACCAACAAACUUGGCAAACAAAUUGCCAACGACAUCCUUCCUAAGCGAAUAAUGAUCAUUGACAAGAGGAGGCUUAGGGAUGUUACUGUUGGGACAAGAUAAGGAUAUGUGUCCCUUCUCACGACAAAUAUAGCAACAUGUGCUCCCCCUUCUCUUCUUCUUUAUUUCAUCAACUUGGGGAGCAUUAUCUUUGUUCAUCAUUGGUAGUGGCCUUUCUUCAACAUUAGGUUGACCUUGAGAUUGAACUUGAGGACACUUCCCUUGAUGCUUCACAUUUGAAGCCUUCUUCUUCAAUGGACAAGAUCUCACAUUGUGUCCAACAUUCUUGCACUUGAAGCAUGUAAUGUUGGCCAGAUUCUUGACUUGAUCUUGUCCCUUCUUCUUUCUCUUGGACUUCUUAUUGUUGGAGAUGAAACCAAGUCCGCCCUUGUCAUGAGAGGAUUUUUGAACACUCAAGAUAGUGUUGAGAGAGGUAUUUCCUUCAUGACAAAUUUCCAAGUCUUUCUUUAAAAUAGUGACUUGGGCCUUGAGCUCUUUGUUUUCCUCUACAAGGUUAGUAUCAAAAAAAGUACUAGAGGAAGUAGAAGCUUCAUUGUUAGAGCAACAAGGCAAGGAGAGCAAUUCAUCACAAAAAUUAGCAAUAAUAUGUCUAGAUGAAUCACUAGGACUAGCACAUGUCAAUAAAGCAUUUUGAGUAGAAUUAGUGCUAAUGUCCACAUGAGGCUCACACGAUGUUACCUUAGUAAAAAUAGCCUCAUGAGCUAACUUUAGCCUUUCAUGGGAGAUUAGAAGGUCAUCAUGAGAGCCCGAGAGCUUUUCAUGACUUUCUUCUAAUCUUCCAUAAUUGCUAGUUAGCAAAGCAAGUUGAGCCCUUAGCUGAACAUUCUCCUUUAAGAUAGAUGCUUCACAAGAAGUAGAGUUAGUAGCACAAGCAUCAUUGACAAUAUGAGAGGAGCUAGAAGAAACUAGAGACUUCACAUGAGUAGCUUGAAGUUCCUCAUAAGACUUAGAGAGUUUGGUGAGCUCUCCUUUGACAUUCUUGUAGACAAGGUCAAGGUGCUCAAAAUCCUCUUUAAGUUGAUCAUGAGAAACUUCAAUCUCUUAUUUAGAAGAUUCUAAGUCUCUAAGAGUUUCUAGAGCAUCAAGAAGGUUACAAUCAAGUUUUUCAUUUUGUUCUUGCUCUUCGUGAAGUAAAUCAUUACACUUUCCAAAAUGAGUGAUAAGAUCUUUAAACAUCUCAUAAGUGUUCUUAUUUACCCCACGAAGAGAAUUACCAAUUUCAUAUAUUUCUUGACUCAUAUCCCUAUCACAUUCAUCAUUACUCUCAUCAAUAUCAUUACAAAGAGUAGAUGAUACCUCAGUAUUACCUCUUGCCAUGAGGCACAUGUGAACAUCGGAGGUUGAUGAUGAUUCUUUUGGAGAGGGAGUUUCUUUAUCAUCAAGAGUAGGAUAUCCAUGUCCAUGCUCUUGACACUCAUAGCAUUUCCUCUCCAACAAGGUGAUGUCCUUCUUUGCUCCUCUAGCAAUUUCCUCAUUAAUGAUGUGUGCACUAUUUUCUCUUGUUUCCUCUACAUGGUUAGUCAAACAACAACUAGAGGAAAUAGGAGCACAUAGAUCAUGGAAACAAGGAGUAUCAAGCAUAUCAUCACAAAAGGUAUUCAAGGAAUCUCCAAAUGAUAUGCAUGGACUAUCAACACAAGAAUGUAAGUCAUUUUUGCUAGAUAUGCUCAAGUCCAUAGAAUCUACAACACUACCAUGUAUACAUGUAAGAUCAUCAAUGUUGAGCACAUCAUCACAAUCAUCACAAAUGAUAUUUUCACUCACCAUGUCAUUACCUUGGGACAUGCCACAUGAUGGUGAGGCGGAAGAAGUUGAAAUGUCCAAGUACACGGAGGAAGAAGCAAUAUGGAGAUCUUCAUGAUUUGAAGAUGUGGAGACAUCCUCAAUUAACUCCUCCGAAAUAUGAUGAAUAUCAACAAGAUUGGACCCACCAUAUAUUUCUUCAAGUUUGGUCCACAUAUCAUGAGCCGUCACACAAGUCAUGAUAGACUCAAAUACUUCGAGGGAUAUAAACCGGAUUAUGGCAUUCUUAGCACUAUAUCCACAAAGCAUAUCAUCAUUUUCCUCACUAGUUGGAAAAAGGUCGUCCUUCCACGGAGAAGCCCCUACCAGAACAAUUCGCACAAAACAUGGACCCAUGGUCCGAAAAUGACAAAGCAUGCGAAUUUUCCACAAGUGAUAGUUUGUGCCACUAAAACAAAAAGUGUCAUCAUGCACUAUACCACUAGUCGACAUCUUUACUCUCUAGGCGGUGAAGCCUACAAAGGAGAGACCAAAGCUCUGAUACCAAUUGAAAUGAUCUAGAUGACGACUAGAGGGGGGGUGAAUAGGAGUUUUAAAACUUUUACGGAUUUGGCUGUAUCCUAAUGCGGAAUUAAACUAAUGGAUACUUUUCAAGCACAAAUCCUAAAUAUGCUAGGCUCAACUAAGUGCACCAACAACCUAUGCUAAACAAGAUAGGCAAUUAAGCAAACUAGCAAGCACAAACUAUAUCACAAGAUAUGGAAAUGAAGGAACAACAAAGCAAUUCAACUAUCACAAGAUAUAUCAAUAUGGGCAAGUAUGAAUUGCGGAAAGUAAAGGGUGUGGGUAUGAGAUAACCACAAGUGAGUCGAGGACGCGGAUUUAUCCCGAAGUUCACACUCGUGAGAGUGCUAAUCUCCGUUAGAGCGGUGCUGAAGCCAAAGCUCCGGGGCAUCACCAAGUGACUCACCGUAUUCUCCCUUUCGAGUCACCCCCAACGGAUGAGCCUCGGUUCACUCGGGGUUGGUCUUGAAGGCGACCACCACACCUUUACAAACCUCUCCGGAGCACACCACAACCACGGAAGCUUCCGGAGGAACUUGACCACCUAGGCCACUUGAACACCCUUCCUCGGAGCACACCACAAAAGGAAGCUUCCGGGGAAACCUUGGCCACAUAGGCCUCUUCACAAUCUUCUCAAUAUAUCACCAAACCGUCUAGGAGGCGAAGCCUCCAAGAGUAAUAAACUCACGGGCUCUCACACGAACAAAUCGAUGCGGGGAGCUCAAACCAAUGCAACAAAUGCAAUGCAAGGUCAAGAAACAAAUGCUCAACUCACUCUCUCAAUCUCACAAGAUGCAACUCAAGAAAGUGGGAGAUUGAAGAGAGGGGAUGCAAUGGAGGAAAUCAACAAAUGACUCCAAGAUCCAUCCACAAAUCCCCCUUCACUUAGAAGGGAGAUAGGGGUUUGGGAGAGGUGGUAAGAGGCUCAAAAUGAUGUUUAGAAUGUGAAUGAACAACCCCCAAACCGGUGGGGAGGAAGGGCUCUUUUAUAGCCAACUUCCAAAACUAGCCGUUGGGGCUCCAACGGACACUUCCUGGACACCCCGUGCCCACGGUACAAGCCCGUGUGCAUGGGGCCCCGUGCCCACGGGGGUCAAAAACCCCGUGUCCACGGGGUACCCAGAACAGCCUGCAGCAGCCCACUAAAACAGUGAUAACUUUGGCAUACAGACUCCAAAUUCGAUGAUCUUGGGCUCGUUUUGAACCUAUGGAAAAGCCCAAGGUCCUCACAUAGAGAACCACCCAAGAUCAACAAUAAAUAAUGAUGCAAGUAAUGCAAAGGUUUGAGCUCUCUACAUGCGACAUGAUCAAGCUACUUGCCCGAGAGUCCCUCUUGAUAGUACGGCUAUCAAACCUAUAAUCCGGUCUCCCUCCAAGCACCAUGAGACCAGCAAAACUAGGAAAACCUAUCUAAGGUAUACCUUUGCCUUGCAUAUUCAACUUGAGCUUGGUGAUGACUCCAAUGCUUGUCUCAAGUUGGAAUCCCUUUCUUGUCCACAACCACUUGGUGAAGAUGCUUGAAUUGAUUCCUCAUAUUGCAAUGAGGGAAGCCUUAACUUAAGCCCAUCUUCACAUGAGCAUUAUCAUGAUGUGGACCGCAAGCUUCAAAGCAUAUAACCUCCGGCUUCUCAUCUUGCACUUGGACUCCUCGAACCCGAUGACCAUCACCACUUGAUGUCAUCCACACAUAGGCUACUUGAGAUCUUUCCCUUUGAUGCAAGCCCAUGAGAAACACCUAACCCACAUAGACAUACCAAACACAUAGCAUGGGUUAGGUAACAAAGCACAAUUCACAAUUACUUACCAUACCACUAGAUCACUUGAUCUCACGUGGUACAAUGUUUGUGCUUUGAGAGUUGACCACUUAGAUAUAAUCUUCGAGCUUCAUCUUGGUCAACCAACAUCUUUACUCGAAGCUCCAUCUUGGUUUCUUGAAAGCCACAAUGAACUCUUCAUUUCCCUUCAUUGCUUCAAGACUAUAUCACCAAAGACUCUUCCAUGACCAUAUCAAGUUCCACUAUGAAUAUCAUCUUGGUCACCACUUGCCCUUCUAAAACUCCAUCACAAUCUCUUGAGAGGCAUAAUGAAUUCGUCACUCUAGUUGCUUGCAUCAAGACUAGAUCAACCGAAACCCAACACAUGAGCUCACCAUGAUCUUGUCUUGAGACCAUAAGUUGAAUUCUUCUCUUUGAUUAUUCUCUCAAGCCUUGAUCAUCAGAAGCCCAAAUAUAUCAAUCUUUGAGAUCCUCCAAUGCACUCCAUCAUGAACAUAAUUAGAUUAGGCAUUGAAACCAAUCUUGAUGGCUUCAAUAGAAGUACCCGAAGACCAACUUGAAACCUCACUGGAUAUGGGAUCUCGAGAGCCAACACCUAGGCCUCGUGAGCACGGGGUAUCCAGAGAGUUGACACUCGACCCCGUGCGCACGGUACAAGCCCGUGUGCACGGGGUAUCCAGAGAAGGAUACCAUGAGGACUUCUUCGGAUGCUUUGAUGGCAGACUUCACAAAACAACCCAAUGCACUUCAAGCAUCACUAUGGAACAUAUCUUCAUAUAAGAUUCAAUGCACUUGGUGCUCCAUAGGAAUUGUCAUUUAAUACCAAAGCAUAGGGCAAAUAUAUCUUCAUAUAUAUGGUCUUCAUCCUUGAUUCCGUCCAAUAUCCUUGAGGCACUAUCUUCAUAUAUAUAUGGACUUCAUCCUUGAUUCCGUCCAAUAUCCUUGAGGCACUAUCUUCAUAUAUAUGGACUUCAUCCUUGAUUCCGUCCAAUAUCCUUGAGGCACUAUCUAUGGACAAAACCUUCAAAUAUAUCUCACUGAAAACAUUAGCCCAUAGAGAUUGUCAUUUAAUUACCAAAACCACACUUAGGGGCUACAUGCCCUUUCAAAUAGAACAACCAUUAUUCUCUGACUUAAAUGAAUAACCGUCUCGCAAUAAACAAGAUCUAGAUAUAAUGUUCAUGCUCAAUGCUGGCACCAAAUAACAAUUAUUAAGGUCUAAAACUAAUUCCGAAGGUAAAUGUAGAGGUAGCGUGCCAACAUCGAUCACAUCAACCUUGGAACCAUUCCCGACACGCAUCGUCACCUCGUCCUUAGUCAAUCCUUGUUUAUUCCGCAGCUCUUAUUUUGAGUUACAAAUAUGAGCAACGGAACCAGUAUCAAAUACCCAGGCACUACUACGAGCAUUAGUAAGGUACACAUCAAUAACAUGUAUAUCAAAUAUACAUUUGUUUACCUUGCCAUCCUUCUUAUCCGCCAAAUACUUUGGGCAGUUCCGCUUCCAGUGGCCAUUUCCUUUGCAGUAGAAGCACUCAGUUUCAGGCUUGGGUCCAGCUUUGGGAUUCUUCCCGGGAGUGAAAACUUUCUUGCCAUUCUUCUUAAAGUUCCCUUACUUUCCCUUGCCCUUUUUCUUGAAACUAGUGGUCUUGUUAACCAUCAACACUUGAUGCUCCUUCUUGAUUUCUACCUCCGUGGCCUUAAGCAUUGCGAAGAGCUCGGGAAUCAUUUUCGUCAUCCCUUGCGUAUUAUAGUUCAUCACGAAGCUUUUGUAGCUUGGUGGCAAUGAUUGAAGAACUCUAUAGAUAACACUAUCAACUGGAAGAUUAACUCCCAGCUGAGUCAAGUGGUUAUGGUACCCACACAUUUUGAGUAUGUGUUCACUAACAGAACCGUUCUCCUCCAUCUUGCAGCUAUAGAACUUGUUGGAGACUUCAUAUCUCUCAACCUGGGAAUUAAUUUGCUUGAAAUAUUUACUUCAACUCUUGGAACAUCUCAUAUGCUCCAUUACGUUCAAAACGUCAAGCAUGGCACACUGAACUAUUGAGUAGUCAUCAGAUUGAGCCUGCCAGACGUUCAUAACAUCUGCAGUAGGUCUGUCACCUAGCGGUGCAUCAAGGACACAAUUCUUUUGUGCAGCAAUGAGGAUAAUCCUCAAGUUACGGACCCAGUCCGUGUAGUUGCUACCAUCAUCCUUCGACUUAGCUUUCUCUAGGAACGCAUUAAAAUUCAGGAGAACGGUAGCACAGGCCAUGAUCUACAACAUAGAUAUGCAAAACUAUUAGGACUAAGUUCAUGAUAAAUCAAAUUGAGUUAAUCAAAUUACUAAUGAACUCCCACUUAAAUAAACAUCCCUCAAGUUAUCUAAGUGAUACAUGAUCCAAAUCAACUAACCCAUGUCCGAUCAUCACAUGAGAUGGGGUAGUCAUCAAUGGUGAACAUCUCUAUGUUGAUCAUAUCUAAUAUAUGACUCAUGUUCGACCUUUCGGUCUCCAGUGUUCUGAGACCAUGUUUGUACAUGCUAGGCUCGUCAAGUUUAACCCAAGUAUUCUGCAUGUGCAAAACUUUCUUACACCCGUUGUAUGUGAACGUAGAGUCUAUCACAUCCGAUCAUCAUGAGGUGCUUCGAAGCGACGAACUUUGGCAACGGUGCAACUCGGGGAGAAUACUUUUAUCUUGAAAUUUAGUGAAGGGAUCAUCUUAUAAUGCUACCGCCGUUCUAAGCAAAAUAAGAUGCAUAAAGGAUAAACAUCACAUGCAAUCAAAAUAUGUGACAUGAUAUGGUCAUCAUCAUCUUGUGCUUUUGAUCUCGAUCUCCAAAGCAUCGUCAUGAUCUCCAUCAUCACCGACUCGACACCUUGAUCUCCAUCGUUGCGUCGGGGUCGUCUUGCCAACUAUUGCUUCUACAAUAACGUAUAUCACAUCACGUCUUGACCAUAUCACAUCACAACAUGCCCUGCAAAAAAAGAUAGACGUCCUCUACUUUGUUGUUGCAAGUUUUACGUAGCUGCUAUGGGCUUCUAGCAAGAACCGUUAUUACCUACGGCAAAAACCACAAUGGUGAUUUAUCAAGUUUGUUGUUUUAACCUUCUUCAAGGACCGACCGUAGUAAAAUUCAAUUUAACUAAAGUAGCAGAAACAGACACCCGCCAGCCACUUUUAUGCAAAACAAGUUGCAUGUCUGUCGGUGGAAUCGGUCUCAUGUACGUGGACAUGUAAGUUUGGUCCAGGCCACUUCAUCUUACAAGACCACCGAAUCAAAAUAAGACGUUGGUGGUAAGCAGUAUGACCAUCACCGCCCACAACUCUUUGUGUUCUACUCGUGCAUAUCAUCUACGCAUGGACCUGGCUCAUGAUGCCACUGUUGGGGAGCGUUGCAUGGAAAACAAAAAUAUUUCUAUGCACAUGCAAGAUCUCUCCAUGGAGAUGCAUAUCAAUGAGAGGGAAGAGUGUGUCUACGUACCCUCGUAGACUGUAAGCAGAAGCGUUUAGUAAUGUGGUUGAUGCAGUCGAACUUCUUCCCGAUCCAAUCGAUGGAGUAUCGAAUGUACGACACCUCCGCGUUUAGCACACGUUUAGCUCGGUGACAUCCUCAACUUAUUGAUCCAGCAUGACCGGCGAAGUAGUGGAUGAGUUCCGGCAGCACGACAGCGUGGUGACGGUGGUGGUGAUGCUAUCUCUACAGGGAUUCGCCUAAGCACUACGAAAAUAUGACCGAGAGACGAAACUAUGGAGAGGGGCACCACACACUGCUAAGAGAUUGUCGUGGUUAUGUGUGGCAUCCCCCUCCGACAUAUAUAUAGGUGGGGGAGAGGGGAGGCAGACAGGGGCGCCCCGAGGGUGGCCGAAUCCACCUUGGCUCCUGCCCUGGCCGUGCCCCCCUUACCAUAUUUGCCCGGGGGGAAAGGAAGGGGGAGGAGAGGAAGGCAGGGGAGACCGAAUCCCCCUCCUUCCUUUUCUCUCCAUGGCCGGCUGCCAUAUGAGGGGUGCGCCAGCCCCUGGUGUGCUCCCCUCUUUUGGCCCAUAUACCUCCCGGGGGUGUCCGGAACCCCUUACGGCAAUCCAAUGACUACCCGGUGCACUCUGAAACUCUUUUGGUGUCCAAUAGUAUCGUCCUAUAUAUCAAUCUUUACCUACGGACCAUUCCGGAGAUCCUCGUCAUGUCUGUGAUCUCAUCAGGGACUCCAAACAACAUUCGGUCACCAAACCAUAUAACUCAUAUAACACUAUAUCGUCAAGGAACGUUAAGCGUGUGGACCCUAUGGGUUCUAGAACUAUGUAGACGUGACCGAGACAUUUCUCCGAUCAAUAACCAAUAGCGGAAUCUGGAUGCACACAUUGGUUCCUACAUAUUCUACGAAGAUCUUUAUCGGUCGAACCUUAUGACAACGUAUGUAAUUCCCUUUGUCUGUCGGUAUGUUACUUGCCUGAGAUUCGAUCGUCGGUAUAUUCAUACCUAGUUCAAUCUCAUUACCGGCAAGUCUCUUUGCUCGUUCCGUACAUCAUCUUGUAACUAACUCCUUAGUCACUUUGCUUGCAAGGCUUCUUAUGAUGUGUAUUAUCGAGAGGGCCCAGAGAUACCUCUCCGAUACAUGGAGUGAUAAAUCCUAAUCUCAAUCCAUGCCAACUCAAUGGACACCUUUGGAUAUACCUGUAGAGCAUAUUUAUGAUCACCCAUUUACGUUGUGAUGUUUGAUAGCACACAAGGUAUUCCUUUGGUACCCAGGAGUUGCAUGAUCUCAUAGUCAAAGGAAGAUGUAUUUGACAUUAAAAAAGCAAUAGCAAUAAACUGAACGUUCAUAUGCUAAGCUAAUAGAUGGAUCUUGCCCAUCACAUCAUUCUCCUAAUGAUGUGAUCUCGUUAUCAAAUGACAACACAUGUUUAUGGUUAGGAAACAUUAACCAUCUUUGAUCAACGGUCUAGUCUAGUAGAGGCUUACUAGGGACACGGUAUUUGUUUAUGUAUCCACACAUGUAUUUAAGUUUCCAAUCAAUACAAUUCUAGCAUUAAUAAUAAACUUUUAUCAUGAAUAAGGAAAUAUAACAACUUUAUUGUUGCCUCUAGGGCAUAUUUCCUUCAGUGCGAGCGCCGUCCUGUCAUAGUCCUUUAUUAUCUUAUACUCCCUCCUUUCCGGUUUAUAGGGUUUACCUCAAUUUUUUCAUUUUUCCAAUUUGAAGGGUUCAUCUCCAUCGCCUUUUGAGAUACCGAGACGCAUUAAAUCUUCGCAUGCAAGAAUUAAAAAGGAACUCACCAAUGAAUGUAAUUCUACUACUCAUCUAGUGGUCAAGAAUGCAUGCACUGCAAUUAAUUCCAACUAAUGCAUCAAUUUAGUUCGGGUAGUUUUGUAAAGUACGAGAUACAUUCCUCCACUCAUCAUGUGCCUUGGUUAAUGAGAUUUCAGAUUUGAGCCCUAUAAAACAGAAAGGAGGGAGUAUAGUGGAGUUGUUGUUGUUGGUGGUGGUGAAUUCACUCUCCCACUCCAUCCCAAUCUCGCUCCUCCAUCUAGAACCCAUCACAUCCCUCAAAUUUGAAACAUUUUUUUGCAACGGUGCUCCCAUCAUUGCUGUAAUUACGCAAGUGCAGUGUUGGCUGCUUGAUUGAGUACCUUUGCGUGGUGUUGCACAUGCAUUGGUUGUUAUAUGAUAAUAAUGCAAUACAACUAAAUCAUUUUGUGGUUCUGUAGCAACGCAUGGACAUUAUGCUAGUAUUACCGUUAAAGAGUGUUGUCAAUAUAGACCAUUCUGCGCAAGGACGAACUUUAGACCUCAAAGGCCAAGUGUUUUUACUCGAUUAAUAAUUUAUAACAAAAAUUACAUCACUGGAACCACUACAACAGGAACCCCCCUAUAGCAACGCUUUUUUCCGUAUCUAAAAGUUCAUAUAUGCGUUGUUAGUGUCAAUACCAACGGUUUGGGAUGCGUUGCCUUAUCCAGUGUUGCUAGCGCAUAUUACAACGGUUAUACCACCAUUGGUAAAAGGGACCGUUGCAAAAUGCAACACAUAAAACAGACUUAUGCAACACCUUUAUAUGUUGGUGCUUAAUUUACAGGAAUCAACAUCCCAUUGCUUGGCAACAGAGAGUUUGCAAUGCUUCAAAUCGUGGUACAUAUAUAAUGUGAAUAAUAUUAUUUUCUAUACAUAUUGCUAGCAACUAAAUUAAUGCUCCACGUAAUGGUGAUAAUUAUAUAUGCAUUUCAAGUGAACAAAAAACAAGAGAAUAUACUCACAGGAGGAAGAAAUCAUAUAUUAUAUAAAAUUGUUGGAUUACAACAGUGGAUAUUACAGGAGGAACAUCAUCCAAAUGUGAUGCAUAAUCUAAAUAUUUUCUUGACAACAAAAUGAAAACCAAAAGCAUCCCUCAACAUCACUACAACUUAACUAAAACUUAACAGAGGAACAUCAUUCCUACAACUUAACUAAAAUUGAAAGCAUCCAGCAUCAUAAUCAUCAUCAUUAUCAUCAUCAGUAUAUUUGCCACAUACCCAUAUAAUCAUCCAUUUAUCUUUUGAACCUACAAACAAAAAGCAAAAUGACUGUUAACACACAAUGCAUUAGCAAAAAACCAAAAAAAAAC
rnacentral:lncRNA from 1 species